rnacentral:lncRNA from 1 species
AAAGAAGACUAGGUAAAACUUCGUACUCAAUAGAAUUUGGUUGACUGAGACCGUUGAAAUUUUCUCAAAAGUUUUAGAAAAAAAGGAUCAAAAAGGAAAAAGAAAAAAAAUAAAAAAAAAAGAGAGUAAUUAUAUUCUAAACCUUUGUUUAAGGUAUAACACGAGCUUGAUGUGUUAUUAAGGUUUGUCUUUUUCUUUUUUGGGCUUUUGAUCUAAUGGAGGUUGUGAUGGUUUUGUGACUAAUUUGAAUAGGUUUGGUGAAAAUGAAUUAUGAGCUUCUGAAUCAUUUGAAAUGGUACUUUUUAGUUUGAUUAAGUUUCGUUUAUACUUAAUGAUUUGAAAGACUGUAUGAAUAAACUUAUCUACAAUUAUUUUAAGUAAUAAUUUUAAAUUCAUGUUUUAGAUAUAAAAUUAGGUUGAACAUUUUUAAAAAAACUUGUAUGUCUCAUAAUAACUAUAUUCAACUUGAAUAUGAUUAUUUCUAGUAAAAUUUCAUAUCUCAUCAGAAUCUAUAUAAUAUAGAAGUGAAAACAAUUAUCACUUUAUAUAAGUUAAUUUUAUGAAUACAGGUUAGAUUUAAUCCCAUAUGUUAUUAAAGUCAAUCUUACAAAAAUUUAUUAUUUUGUUUUUGUAUUAUUUGUAAUUAGAUACAUAUAAAUAUAUAUUUUCACAAUCUCUCAUCCAUGUUUUAAUGCGAGGGAGUAUGUUUAAGAUUUUUACCUUUAAUUUUUAAUAACGAAUUAACCUUAAACUCCCCUUCUAAUAAAAGAUAUAUACAAUAAAAAAUAUAUCAUGCUCUAUUUAAGUUAAAAUUAAAUAAAAAUAAAUAAGUGGACUUGAGGGUCAUUCACUAGAUUAUUAAAGAAAUAUUUUAAGAAUGAAGUUUAUAGAGUAAUUGAUUAUUUGCUUCAAAUGAUUUUAUUUCUAAAUUACUAUUGUUGUUGCUGCUUUUUUGCAUAGAAAAAAUGAUAAAUAAAAUUGUGAUAGGCAACACAAAUUUGGGCUUUCCACCGUGCAUGAACCUAUCUAAGAAGGAGCCCACACCAAAACACAUCAUGUGAUGAUAUAUAAAUGUGGUGUUCGUGGUGUGAGACUGAAAGAAUGCACAAUUGCAUGUUAGAUGUGUGGGGUUAUUAGCACAAAAAGUGUAGCAUUUUGUUGCUUCUUUUCUCAAUGUUGAGGUUUUACAACAUAAAAGUUCUUUCCACGUCAUUUCAAUACAAAGUUAUUUAUAAACUAAAAUUUGAGACAACUCAUUUAAACAUGCUAGAAAAUACACGGUUCAGGAUAGAAGCUCGACGUUACACUGAAAAUGAUCUCUCAUGAAAAUGUCUAUAAUUCAUAGUAAUGGUGUUCUGUUAAUGUUACUGCAUUUAAGAAAAAGAAUUCAAGUUGAAUAAUAUAAAAAUUGAUAUAAACGAUAAGGGUAAUAUUAGAUCUAUAUUAACAAGGUCUGAGUCUAACAACGUAUGAGAUUUAUAAUUCUCUGUUUAAAACCUUAAAGACAAUAACUAAUAUAUCUUAUAUUAUAUAUUAACAAGAUAGACUAAAAAUAACAACAACAUAUGUGUGUGUUUGAAACUAAGGUUGAAAAGAGGUAAAAGCGUGUCUGCUCAUGUUGAUAGCAGUGAUAAGCAGUAAUAUGAGAGAGACCAAAACUGAGACAGAUGAUAAAACAAACAUGAUGGCGUGAGCCAUGAUUCCCUUAACUUCAUGAGCAUACUCUACUGAAGCAAGUGCCAAAGCCGUAAGAGGAAAAGAAUAAGCCCACCAUGUCACAUUGAACUUCUUCAUCGACUUCUUAAAUAGCAUAGGCCUUGAAACCUGUUUGUUCAAAAGCAAACAACAAAACUGAUUACUAAUUUUGUUUUGGUGGCCUAAUCCUACCAAAUGAAUUGUCCCAGCUGUAUUAUAUCCCUUAAUAAUUGCAAGUUGCAACAAUGAUAGUCAGAUCAAGAAUCAGAAUACCAUGAAACGUACAGAAUUUGACUACAUCAGUACAGAGUUUAGACCAACUUUUUUGUUAGAUAGAUAAACAUGGACAUUCACCUACCUAUACUACUAAGACAUGUAAUGAUUUUUUCCGCUUCACAGAAACUUAUCUCACUAACCUCGUUUGCUAUAAUACCAUUUCUGAACCAUAAAAGUUUCAUACAUGACAGAAAUCCAAUAUUAAAAUGUUAGAAAUCUACUAAAAAUAAAACAAUUUACAAAUCUAAACAGGAAAUAUAACUUGAAAGUUAAACCUGAAAUUACCAGGGACAAGAAGAGGAAGAAGGAGAGGAAGAAGAGCAUCUUGCAUGUGGUAUCAAACUUGCCACAAAUGGAGUUCCAAGCCAAGCUAGCCAUGCUGGGUGCUGCAAAGAACAAGAAGAAAACUGGACGCAGCAUUGAAGGGAUAUUAUUGUUCCCUGCUAAUCUCUGAUACAGUGUGACAAAAAGCACCAAGUAAUGAACAAUACCCAAAGAAAACAUGCAUAGUGCACUCUCCUUCCAACCCAUUUGCGCAGCAGCCUGUGCCCCCACCAAGUUCCCAAUCACAGACAGCUGACUUGUUGGGUUUGCUCCAACUGACAAAAACCUCUUCCCUUUUGUAAACCACUGCCCAUAAAUCUUCACAUCAAGCAUCACCAUUGGCACAACGAACACCCACCAAAGUAUUUUGAAAAAAAGUGUUCUUGGGGAGAGGAAUGGUGAUGAUUCUAGCAAAAUUAGCCAACAGAUCCAGGGGACAAAUAGAUAAUUCACCCCCACAUGGUUUAAGAAUUCAUCCUUAACCAUGUCAAAGUGUAAAACACAUUUUAGAAUGUAAAGAAAAGAGAGUGUGGCCAGAAUGAACAAAGCCAAGAACCAUAGGAGAGUGUGGACAGAAGAGGGUAUGGAUGAAAAUAAACGUCUCAGAGCAUGUGCAUCUUGGAUUGGCUCAAUCAGGAUCUUCAACAGAAAAGCUUGGCUUGUGAGAGACAAACUAAUCCUGAAAUACCCUGCAUGGAAUUGUGUCAUAAUAGAGGAUAAAGAUUUGAUUUGGAUGCAAUUUGACUGAGUUUUGGUGAUUGAAACAUCUAUCGGUAACUCUACAUGGUGUUCUGGAUGUUGUUUCUCGUUCUCAUCCAUUUCAACCUUUGUGACAAGAUCCUUUUGAUGUGCUUUCUGAUAACAGAGAGAGUGAUGUAUUUAUAUAUAGGGUGUUGGUUUAAUCACCAUGAAACUUUUCAAAAUUAUGCAACUAUUUUUUUUAAUAUUUUUCAUUCAUCAAGAAUGAAAUUAUACUAACGUUAAGAUACAAACAAAGUGUGUCAUUAAAUAAAAAUAGAAAUUAAUCAUAGAUUUAUAUUAAUUGAUAAGAGAUUUUUGAAAUAAUAUUACCAAAAAUAAAAUAAAUAUGCAAUCAAUUGGUAGUAAAAAAGUAUGAUAGUGAUGUCUGUGUCACUGUAAGUGGUAGUGAGAAUAGGAGAUGAAACUUCAAGGGUUGCAGAAGCUGCAAUUUUGAACUGGAAAAUGAUAUUUUAACACCAUUUUUUUGACAUUAUUUUGACACUGCACACAUGUCAAAAUAUGAUUGGACGAUUUUAAAUUAAAAAAAAACUUUUGAACUCCUUCUUCUCUGUAUAUAAGCCAAAACUUGAUCCUAAAGUUGGUGCCGUUUACAGCUAAAGUUUGUGUCAUUUACAGCUAUAGACACACUCUUGUGGGCACCAUUUUUAAUAAGACCAAUACUACUUAUAUUUCGUUAUGACUUUUGUAUAUGCUCCAAACAAUUUUAAUACUUCCUGUGUUAUUUUCUUCAUUGUCAUUAUAUUCUUUUAUGAAUUGUUUGGUAAGAGUUAAUUAAGGGAGAAAACAAGAGUUUGAUAACAUCAUUGUUUAAAAAUGUGAGGUGUAUAUAGAAGUGAAAAAUAGUGUAUAUAGAAGUUAUCCAGAUUUUGCUCAUAUGGUCCUGAUUGAUAACUAUGGAGCAAGUGUUGUCCUUUUUUUGGGUAAUAAAAGUUUGAUAGAAGUGUCACUUUGUGCAGUAGAAUUUGAGAUGUCUUUAGAUUGUCAUGUAUUUUUCCAGAGUUUGAUUAACAUGUGAAUUAUUAUUAUGGUGUGAUUGAGAAUUAUUGGUCUCUGUGCAAUGCACUUUCAGGACUGAAUUUAAGUGUUCCAUAAAAAGAAGAAAUAAGAUGAAUAAAUAUAUGAAAGACAGAAAUGGAUACCGUAUAAAAAAGAUUUAAUUAAUUUUUUGGUUUUUAUAUUUCUUUUAAAUGUUAAGUUGGUUCUUUAAUUUUUUUAUUCUUUUGAUUUUUUUUAAAGUGAUUUAAUAUGAUAUUUUUGUUAGGAUUGUACAAACGAUAUUAAAAUUAUUAUCACUUGUAAAUUUGUGAUAAUAAUUUUUUUAUUUGGUUUUGAUAAUAAUUUGAGGACUGAAUUUAAGUUUUCGAUAAAAAAAAAGGAAAAAAUAAGAUGAAUAAAUAUAUGAAAGACAGAUAGGUUUAAUUAGAUUUUUAGUUUUUAUUUUUUUAAAUGUCAAGUUUGUUUUUCAAUUUUUUUUAUUUUAAUUUGGUUUUAAUUUUUUUAAAGUGAUUUAAUGUGACAUUUUUGUAAGGAUGGUACAAAAGUAUCAAAAGUUAUUGUCACUUGUGAUAGUCUGAUUUGAUCCUAUAUUUAUUUUUUAGAUUUAAUUUAGUUUUGAUUUUUGUAAAAAUAGAACAAUAUUUUUUUUUUAAAUUAGGAUAAAAUUUAUUUUUUUUAUAAAUGCUAAUAAUUUUAUUAAAAUUAACAUUUUUAUUAAAUAUUUUCGAGAAUAAUUUUGAAUUAACUUUAAAAUCUAUACUAAAAUGAAACAAAUAAUUUUUGAAAAAAUUAAAUACUUAGGUUAGGACAAGUCACAUGAGUUAUAUAUAUAUAUAUAUAUAUAUAUAUAUAUAUAUAUAUAUAUAUAUAUAUAUAUAUAUAUAUAUAUAUAUAUUAUGAGUUAAAACUUAAAUAUUAAUAAAUUAUACUAUUUAAUUUAUAAAUUUUAAUUUGUUCGUGUCUUUCUUAGGUUUAUAACUUGUGUUCCAUUGCACAACAAACUGUGAAGUGACAUGAAAAAAAAUAAAAAGAAAGUAAAAAAAUUAAAAAAUACAAUAAAAUAAUCAUAAAUUAACACGUGAUACUAACUUUUUGGACUAUAUUAACAAAAAUAUCAAAUUAAAUCAUUUUAAAAAAAGAUAAAACUAAAUUAAGAUGAAAAACAGACAAAAAUAAAGACAAAAAAAUAGUUAAAUCUAUAUAAAAAUAAGUAAAAUAAAAAUAUUUGUUUUUAAAGAAAAAGGCUAUAAAAUCCUUAACAUAGGGAUGAUAAUGUAAGUUGAUCCAUCCUAUUUUGAUUCGUCUCAUGUUUGGUUUGUAAGAAAGGGAACAAACUAACCAGCCUUGCAUAGUUAGGAGGCAUCAUAACUCUAUUAAGUUUAUAUUUUUGAAUUUUUAUAAAAACUCAUUAUUUUCAUAAUAUUAAAAUAAAAUUAUCUUUAUCUUAAUUAUAAGUUUCUAAAUAACUUAUUAUAUUUUAAUAUUAUUAUUAUAAUUGAUUUUCUAAGUUCCUAAAUGAUAUCUUCUAUUUUAAUAUAUUUAUUCUAGUUGAGUCUAAUAAGUUCCAAAAUAAUGUACUCUAUUUUAAUUUUUCUUAUAUUAUUUUAAUUAAAACGUUAAUUUUAAUUUUAAUUAAUUUUUAUCAAACACAUGCAACCGAUAAUCAGAAGUUCUAAACAUCUAUAUUAUAUUUCACUUCAAUAAUACUUAUCUUUUAUUACUUUUUAGUUCAUCCCACGUAGCAUUUGGUUUCCUAACAUGUGAGUUGAUUUGUAUAUAAAAUUUUGUUUUAUAAUUUUCUUUCAUCCAAAAUGUAAAAUUCUAGAAUGUUUAAUUUUAAUAAUCUUAUUUUUAUUUAAUUGAAUUAGUAGAAAUAAUAAUUUUACAAACCUAUUUAUUAAAAAGAUAAUAUUCAUAAUUUUAUAAUUUGUAAUUUUAAAGUACAAUCAAAGCAUGUUAAAAAUUUCAUAGCAUAAAUAUAUAACUAAAAGAACGAAAACUAAAUUUCUUGUAACUAAAAUUGUCAAGCAAUUAAGGUUCUCCCAAAAAAAAAAAACUUAAUUGAUGGAAAUUCACACAAUAAUCACAUUAAAUAGACACGUCAUCAACUAUAGAUAUAUUACAAUAUAUAGAGUAUAUGGAGCAAUUGGUCUCGUUUCGUUGGUUCCAUGAAUUAUAAGUGUAUAGUAAACCUUAGAUUAAAGAAACCAAAAUAUUAAUUAGAUACACUCUUUUUCUUAUAAGCCUACCACUUAGAUCCAUGACUAACCCAUAUUGUAAUUCUCUCUAACAACAAUCAAAAGCAAAAUUAGAAAUAUCUCUUUUAAAUUUCUCUUUCUUUAUUAAUUUGUGGACCAAACAACUUUUGUUUUAUCUUCUCUCUCAAUUUCUUACCUAAUUCAAUAGAAGGGUAAUUAAUAAUUUCUUGUUUUUCUAUUAAUUAUUUUUAUAUCUGUGUUUUUUUUUUAUUGCGAAUUUUGUGGGCAAAAGUAAAAGAAGAAUAAUUUAUUAAUUAUUAUUAAAUUUAAAAAUGUUUUCAAGGUCUUAAAGUUACAUUAAAACGAAUGGCAGAAUGUGCUGUUGCAGGAUCAUAGACAACAGUUUCAAGUGUAGCAUAACCCCUGAGAAAAGCAAACCUUCCAGUUCCAGACACCACCGAAAGCUCUUUAUAAUGCUCGUGUUGCCGACUAACGCCCUGGAUCUGUAACGUGCUUCCACUGAAUUCCGCAUUCGUGAACAGGAUCGAAAGAAUCGCGUUCACAUUAGCGCCAUCCUUGGCUGAUACCACCAGCACCCCCUGGGCCCGGCCCACUUGAGUAGAGAGUGGACUUGGGCCCAUGGUGACAGGGUCGUCGACUGCAAUUAUGGUUCCGAAUUGGUCGAAGGUCCAGUCCCUUCCGGGGAGCCCAAUGAUUGGGGUGACGGUUGCACCGGGCCCUUUUGCUGUGUCUUGAAGGUAGAAAUUCAAAGUUGUUUGAGCAUUAGUUUGGUAAAACAAUGUGAUGGAUAUGAAAAGGAGCAAUGAGAAGAAGGAGAAGAAUUUGGAUGAUGCCAUUUUAUGGUAUGAUGCUGAAAUAAUUGGAUGAUAUUUAUAGCACUAAGCCAGAAAUUAAGCUAUUUAUUUAAUGUUUCCUUAGGCGUUAAAAAAUUGAUUGAUCUCACUUUUCAUGUGAGUAAAGAAAGAAGCGUCUUCUUUUUCUCUUGCCAACUGUUAAUGAUUCGAAACCGUUGUUUGUAUUGAUGUAAGAUGAAGAAAAUCGUGUGUUUCAGACAAACUAACGUUCACCACAUGAAAUUAGCCUCAGUUUUCACUUCUUCCCGUAAAACACAUCAAACUUCUUUUACUUCUUCACUUUAUAUAUAUAUAUAUAUAUAUAUAUAUAUAUAUAUAUAUAUAUAUAUAUAUAUAUAUAUAUAUACAAACUUCACAUAUUUCAGUUUUAAUAUAUCAAAAGAAUACCAUUUUAAUUCGAUCGAUAAUGUUAAUUAUGUUACAAUCUAUUAGAUUAAUAUAAUUCAAAACAUAAUUGGUCUUUAAUAAUUAUAAUAUGUAUUAAUUAAAGAAAAAUUAACAUUAGAAUAAAAUUAAUCUUGAAAGUAUCAUGUGUUUUAAAUUUAAAAAGUGGAAUUAAGUAUAUUUUUGUUCUUAAACUAUAAUGCAAUUUUGAUUUUUGUUUUUAUUUAAAAUUUUGAUUCUAUUAUAUUCUCGUAGUUAAGAAAUUUAUGCAUGUUCUCCUUGUCCGAUGAUGUUUGUAUGAUGAACACUGAAUUACGUUAACUUUAUAAGAAAAUGGCACGAGAACAUUCCAACUUAAUUUGUCGUUUGUUAUAUCCAGAAUCAGUUAACAUCAUUGGAUGAAAAUAGCUAUAUUCAUACAUUUUUUAAGUAUAUGAAUCUAAUAUAAUUUGUUUCGGGUAUAGGAUUGACGUCCCUUACUUAAAGCACUCUAAGUUGUCCUGAAGACCAGAUGGACUCUCUAGUGAUCCUUUAUUAUCCAAGUUACGUUAUUUGUUCUCCUUCCUCCUUGUCAAAGCUGUGUGGGCGAAUACUUGUCAAAGACACUCUGACGCUCAAGUUAGUAAUAUAAUCGAACGGUUAGCACAACAAGUGAUGCAUAUAAUAUGCAUAAUGAUCCUAAAGUCAUAUAUGAGACCUUUAUUUAUACUAGUUUUGAUGGACCUUUAGCUUUUACUAGCUUAAUGACGGUUCAAUCACACUUUAAUCUGCAUUAGGGACAUAAUGAGUCAUUACCACUAAUAAUCUGACCAUACUGUUAGGUCAUAUUGGACGCGACUUAGGCUUGGGAGAACGAUCCUGGUGUGCGGUCUAGGUGGACGAGUCGGGUAGGUAGUUUGGAAAAAUUGCUUAGGUGGAAGAUCUGGAUAUUCUGCUUAAGUGGUACUUAGUCCCAAGGUAGGUAAAGCAUAAGUACACAAUUAAAUUUGAUAUAAAGACAAAAAUACAAAUUCAUGUUAUAGUUUAAAGAUAAAAGACAUUAGUGAAAAGUAAAAUGAUUUCUUUUAAUGUUGAAUGUAUAAUUAAUCUUUUUUAUAUCAGAGAAGAUAACAAUUUUUAAUAAUUGAAAUCAUUAAUAGAGAAAUUAAUGAAAUUAAAAUUUGUGUAUUAAGACAGACAUUGUGUUUCGUAUUCAAAACAAAACAUGUUUAUUUAUUAGUAUUAUUUAAAAUUAAAUAGAUAAAUAAAUGUAUUAAUUAGUCUUUUAUUAUGGUAUCUGUAUUUAGAUUUAUGAUAUACUUUAAUUUCUAAGAUUAAAUAUGUUUUUGUCUUUUAACUUUAACUGAAAAUUGAAAUUAGUCUUUUUUUUCAAAAUUUUAAACUAAUUUAGUUCUUCAUCUGUAGGAGUGUGUAAAUUUAAUCUUUUAACCAAAAUUUGUUAAGUUUAUUUGAAGUUUCAAACAUGUUUCUUUACUAACAACGAAGAAAAAAAUGUGUGAAAAAAUGUAAACAACUCAAAUGUUAUUAUGAAAUAUAUUGUGAAUGUCAUAUUAAAUUAAUAAAAUUUUGAUUAAAAAGACUAAAUCCACAUAUUUCCAAAAUUGAAUAACUAAAUUGUAUCAAAGUUUUAAAGAAGAAUUAAUUAUAACUUUUACUUAACAUUUAAUGACCAAAAACAUAUUUAACUCUAAUUUUUAUAUUUCCUUUAUUCAAUUAACUCUCAAAAUCGGUUAGAUAAAAUAAAUUUGGUCUCUUUCAUUAAAUAUAUUUAAUACUUUUUAAAGAAGUGUCACGUGUUAAAAUUUAAAAAAUAAAUCAUAAAUUUAAAUAUAAAAGUAAAAUUACUAAGUUUAUUUAUUUUUAAAGAUGUUUACAAUUAAGAAAAUAAAACUUAAAAAACUGUAACAUAUACAAAGUAUUAAUUUUUUAUUUUGAAGAUAUUGAAAAAAUAAUAUAUAUUUUAAAUUGUCCUUAAUUUUAAUUUUAAAUUAACGAAAGAGCAGAAAAUAUAGCUAAUUAGUUAAUUAAGAAUAAAAAUGAAAAAGUGAUGUAAUAUUAUUUAGAAUGAAAGAAAAAGUAAUACAUAGUUUUGUCAAGUACGUAAGGUUAUGGUGAAGCGAACGGUGGAGCGUGCAGUCGCAGGAUCAUAAGCCACAGUUUGCAAUGUAGCAUAGCCUCUGGCAAAACGAAAUUGACCAGUGCCAGCCACAACAGACACCGUUCUAACAUUAUCAUUCUGCCGAUUAAUGCCUUGCAGCUCCAAGCUGCUACCAUUCAACUGCCAACUGCUGAACACAAUUGAAAGCACCACAUUCACAUAAGCUCCAUCACGAGACGAAACCACCAGCAAACCUUGGGCCCGGCCCACCAACGUAGACGCUGGGCUUGGGUCCACCGUCACUGGAUCAUCCACCACAAACACGCUUCCAAAUGUGUUGAAGUUCCAAUUCCUUCCCUUGAUGCCCGCCACUGCUGCAACUGUGGCAUUCGGCCCUCUUGUUAUGUCUUGCAGGUAGAAGACGUAUGUUGUUUCACGAUCCGUAGGUUGUGGGAUUUGAGCAUAAGCUUGAUAAACCAGUGUGAUGAAUAAUAUCAUCAGCAUAGGAAUGGAGAAGGGUGUUGAAACUGCUGCUGCCAUUUUCUUUUUGUGGGGUUUAUUCAACGUUUGGGAUGUAGAUGUCGUGAAAUAUUCAUGAAUUUAUACAAGUGAAAGCGUGUUUCUGACAGCUUAAACUUUUGUUGUUUUUUUAACAUUUAAGAUAAUUUAAUAAUGAAAUUAUUCAUUUGGUGUAAGUUUUUUUUUAAAAAAAAAAUUAUAAUUUAAAAUAAAUUUUGCCACAAAACCGGUUUGUAGAAUGAAGUUUACACUCAUUUAUAUACACUAAAUUAAUCAUUAAUCUUAUCUAUAGUCGACGUGGAAUCUCAACAUAAAUAUUAACGAAAAAAAAACUCUUGUCGAAAAUCUUUAUUACAGCUGGGUUUUGGAAAAAAAGUUCUUGUUCUUAUAACGUUUCUUGUUUGUCUGAUAGUAAGUCUGUGCGUUACCUAUCACGUGAGUAAAGCACUCUGGUGAAUGAAGUAUAAGCAUAACGUAAGAUUUUCAUUUUCUAUGGAAAAAAAGUACAGAAAAAAAAACAAAUGACGUUACAUAAAAGAUGUUACUUUAAAAUAUAUAAUCUUAUUUUGUAAGUUUCAUUUAUAAAAUUGAAUUAGAUUUAAAAUAUAUUAAUAUAAUAUCAAAAUUAUGAUUAAAAUCUACUCUAAUACCUAUUAUUAGACGGUUAAAAGAAAUAAUGAAAUAUGGUAUUAAAUAGAUUUAAAAACCUUUUUGAAUAUAAAUAUCUUCAUAUUAAAAAUAAUAUCUUUAUCUCUUAUUUAAUUUGGAUUGGAGUAUGCUACAGUAACCCGCAUUAAUAGACUUGAAAUAAUUUUUCACUGAAAAUUUUUCCAUUAUUAAAAUUUUUUAUUCCUUUUAAUUGUUACAUAAUCAGAUUAAACAUAUUUUUCAUCUAUAAAGUAUUUUUAAAAAUUAUAGUUCAUUUUAAACUAAAUUCUAUAUUUAUUUUAUUUUUAUAUUUUACGAAAAUCACAUAAAAAUACUUUUUUAGUAAUAAUGAAUAGAGUGUUUUAUAUAUGACAAAUAAAGUAAUUGUGACAUCCCAAUUAUAUAGCAUACAUGUAUAUAAUUUAAGACGUCAUUAUAGAUAAUAUUUGAAAGCAGUCAAGAGUAGAGUAGUAUAAAGAUCAGGAUUACAGUCAUCCAGGAAUUUAGGGGGAACUAAAAGCGUGGAAUGCUAAACUAAUUCAAACUAGAUAAAUUGGAAAGUGUCUCAAAAUAACAUAAUUUAGAAAUGUUCAUAGGGGCAUAACAGCCCAGAAAUUCCUAGAGAGUCUAGGCAGCGACGUCUUCAUUAUCCUCCAGGACAUUCUCCACAGACACCUCAUUCUCUUCUGCUCACAUCCAAGAUGGAUGAUCAUCGCAACAGGGCAACACACACAACAUGGUAACACAGCAGACAAACAAUUGCAAGGGUGAGCUAAUUAUAUAAAAAGCAUACUAUUAACAGUAAUUAACGUUCAAGAACAAACUCAANNNNNNNNNNNNNNNNNNNNNNNNNNNNNNNNNNNNNNNNNNNNNNNNNNNNNNNNNNNNNNNNNNNNNNNNNNNNNNNNNNNNNNNNNNNNNNNNNNNNNNNNNNNNNNNNNNNNNNNNNNNNNNNNNNNNNNNNNNNNNNNNNNNNNNNNNNNNNNNNNNNNNNNNNNNNNNNNNNNNNNNNNNNNNNNNNNNNNNNNNNNNNNNNNNNNNNNNNNNNNNNNNNNNNNNNNNNNNNNNNNNNNNNNNNNNNNNNNNNNNNNNNNNNNNNNNNNNNNNNNNNNNNNNNNNNNNNNNNNNNNNNNNNNNNNNNNNNNNNNNNNNNNNNNNNNNNNNNNNNNNNNNNNNNNNNNNNNNNNNNNNNNNNNNNNNNNNNNNNNNNNNNNNNNNNNNNNNNNNNNNNNNNNNNNNNNNNNNNNNNNNNNNNNNNNNNNNNNNNNNNNNNNNNNNNNNNNNNNNNNNNNNNNNNNNNNNNNNNNNNNNNNNNNNNNNNNNNNNNNNNNNNNNNNNNNNNNNNNNNNNNNNNNNNNNNNNNNNNNNNNNNNNNNNNNNNNNNNNNNNNNNNNNNNNNNNNNNNNNNNNNNNNNNNNNNNNNNNNNNNNNNNNNNNNNNNNNNNNNNNNNNNNNNNNNNNNNNNNNNNNNNNNNNNNNNNNNNNNNNNNNNNNNNNNNNNNNNNNNNNNNNNNNNNNNNNNNNNNNNNNNNNNNNNNNNNNNNNNNNNNNNNNNNNNNNNNNNNNNNNNNNNNNNNNNNNNNNNNNNNNNNNNNNNNNNNNNNNNNNNNNNNNNNNNNNNNNNNNNNNNNNNNNNNNNNNNNNNNNNNNNNNNNNNNNNNNNNNNNNNNNNNNNNNNNNNNNNNNNNNNNNNNNNNNNNNNNNNNNNNNNNNNNNNNNNNNNNNNNNNNNNNNNNNNNNNNNNNNNNNNNNNNNNNNNNNNNNNNNNNNNNNNNNNNNNNNNNNNNNNNNNNNNNNNNNNNNNNNNNNNNNNNNNNNNNNNNNNNNNNNNNNCCUGUUUUCAUCUUCUCCCUUUUCUUUCCCUAAGUGGACCCACCCUCACUUCUCUUAUUCAUUCUCCCAUUAAAUCAUACAUAUACNCACGUAAUUAUCAAAGGACAUAGCAGAGAUCCAUGCAAUCAUCACUUUUUCCCUUCUUUUUUUUAACAGUGCUAACACAAAAUUUUCCACUUCCAAACAGCUCAUAACAUUUUAAUCUACAAUCAUUAAAUUCAAUAAAAUCACUACACAAGCAAACCAUCAUAGAGUAAACAUACUCACUUUUCAUCAGUUUCAUAACUCAUCACAUAUCUCCCAAUAUUCAUAAAACUUAAUAUGAAAUUCCAAAACAGCACACCAAAAUAAAAUUCACCAUACAUACAAAGCAUAUAAACAAUUUAAAGAAACAUAAUUAGCUCCCCUUACCUGGUUUUCUUUAAAAGUAGCAAAUUGAAAACGCCCUAACAGGAACCCACUCAGCGUUGAACUUAUAGAACCUACAAAUCACCGAAUUGGUGAUAGAACACAACUCUUAGAGCUCGAUAGGCAGAGAAUGGAAGGAAAAACACAUUAGGAACAUGAACCCAACAAAGUUGCAUGCCCUAGGUUCUAGAAUAGUGAAAGAGAAGGGGAAAUAGGACUUACUAGUUGGAAUAAGAAAUUGUUUGGUUCAAGUUGAAGCCCUUGCGACCACGAUCGUUUAGGCACCUUCGAAUUAAAUUUUAAACGGUUCAGUGUCUAGAUCUUUUAGAGAGAAGGCAGAGCACCUUCUUAGGAAGAAAAGAGCUCUGUCUAGAGAGAGAAAGGAAAAUGCAGAAUGGGAAAAAUCUGAUUAUUUUUUUUAGAAUACCCCUUCCUAAGGUCAUGGGUCCUUAGCUUAUGGGCUGACUGUCUCAACAUAAGGCCCAAUAACUUUAUUAAUUUUUAGGAUCUUACAGUAAUUACCGUUUAUUUAAAGAAUAUUUUACUUGAUUUUCAUGAAAUACAAUAACAAAAUAGUUACAUGAAUUAAUUUAAAAAUGAAACAUAUUUUUUUUAAAUAAUUUGAAGAUAGAAUUUUUAUUUUUUAUUUUUAUAAACUCUUAACAUUUAAAUGGCAACUCUAAAAUUCUAAAAUAUAGUUUAGAGACUUGUAAUCGUAAUAUAUAUUAAACCUGUUUCUUUUUUAAUUCAAGUUGCGAUUAAUUUGUAAUCACUGUACACUUACUGUCUAUAUUUUUUUUAAUCCUAAUAUUGUUAUUAUUAUCAUCACUUAUUACUACCUUGUUUUGACCAGAAUUAUUACCACUGAUGAUCACUUAUUAAGAUUUUUCCAUUUAAUUUUUUUAGAGUUGUUUUAAACGCCAUUAACAUACCAAAAUCAUGAAUUUAAACAAGAAGAGAUUGUAUAAUUUCUUAAUUAAGCGUUGUGAGUAAGAGAUAAAUUUGGGGUUUAUGGUUUGAUACAGCAUUAAGAAGCAAAGAUGAGUUUAUUAUUAGAAAUGGAAAUAUGGUGAAGAUCAUUGGAAAGUUAGAGUGAAAGAGAGGGUGGAAUGUGAAGUUUGGACAUCAUAGAAUAUGGUCUGAAAUGCAGCAUAGCCCUUUACAAAUCGAAAUUUGCCAGUUCCAGAGACAAUAGAGACUUCUCUGUAUUUCUCAGAUUGACGACUAACGCCUUGGAUCUCUAUACUGCUACCACUGUACUGCAAGUUCGUAAACACAAUUGAAAGUGAAACAAACACAUUGGCCCCAUCCUGGGCCGAUACUACAAGCAGGCCUUGGGCCCGGCCCACUACAGAGGAGAAUUGGUUUGGGCUCAGCAUGACAGCGUCGUCCACUGCAAAUAUGGUUCCGAAUUGGUGGAAGGACCAGUCUUUUCCGGUGAGGCCAAUGAUCGGAGAAAUGGUUGCGUUGGGUCCUUUUAGUGUUUCUUGGAGAUACAAAACCAUGGUUUUUGGAAGAGGCUCUUGGGCUUCGGUUACGUUAACCACUGUUGUGGAUAGCAAGAGUAUUGAAAAGGCGAAGAAUUUGGAGGAUACCAUUUCUUUUGUUAUUACUGAUGUUUGAGAUGAAUUUUGAAUUGUGAAGUUUGACAGGAUUUAUAGCACUGAGUUAAAAAUUAGGUUUGAAGCAUAGGCUGUUUGUUUAAUGAUUUCUGAUGGCACGAGUUAUGUGAGUCAAAGUUAAUGGUAAGAAUAAAAAAGAAGGUAAAAAGAGCAUCUAAGACUAUGGUAAACGUAUGUGAACAAUCUAACAUCUGUCACGUGAAAUGAAAUGUGCUUGGUUGGGCUUACUAGUAACGGUAAAACGUUAUGAUUUGUAAGACCAAUGGUCAUGUUUUAUUCCUUUUCACGCUGUGCUUUUAGAAACGGUAAGCAAUUGAAUUAGUAAAUUGUUAGAGUAGACUUAGAGAAACUUAGAAUCAUAGUAUUAUCUAAUUCUUAAAAGAGGAAUGAUUCUUUGAUACACUUAAAUUUUUUACAUUCAUUUGAUACUAUAUUUAUUUUUUACUCUCUUUUUUCUUGAAAAACUACAAAACUUUAUAUUUUUUAGACCAUUUUACUCUUAUAUACUGUGUCAAAUGAAUGUAAAAGUGUAUCAUAGUAUUAUUACUCUUCUUAAAACUCAACUUUGGAUUCCUUUAUGAUCAUCUUACCAUUAUGAAAAACAUAACUAUGGGCUAAUAAACUCAUACAUAAUAUAUCAGCUGCUUAAAACGCAGCAAGUUCAUUGAAUCCAGGAUUGACGUGUUUCAAAUAAUUAGUAUAUACUAAUGUAACUUCAUUAAGAAAGGAUGAUGCACAAGUUAAACAUAAAGGAUAGAAUUGUAUUUUAAAUAUUUCAACAAAAUCACAAAUUCUUUUUAUUAUAAGGAUUGCAAAGAGCUCUCUGCUCAAGGGCAUGCAACUGACUGCAAAAACUCUGAUUUUCUUCCAAGUGGCAAUCAUAAUCUAUAAGGAAACCCUCUCACUGCUUUUCAAAUUGUAAUGGCCUUUGUUACCCUAGAGAGAUUGGAAACAUCAUAUAAAUGCAAAUGCUUAAUGUUUUGGAAGUUUUAAGAAAGAAAUUAAGUUGAGUCAUACUUAAUUAGAAUUGAAUAAAAAAAUAUUAUAGCUUUUAUUUUGCUUAUAACAAAUAUAUUGAUACCACUUUCAAUUGGAACUCAAAGCUGGUUUGAUUGUUUGAACUCAAAUUCAAAUGCUAAUAUCUUUGGAUUUUAAGAAAUUAAAACAAUUGAAACAAACAAUUUAUUAUAGUUUUUAUUUUUAAAUUAUAUUUAAAAAUAAAUAAUAAAUCUGUUUGUAUACUCUUUAAGAGAAACUAAAGUUAAUUUGUAUUUAAAAAUUUAUUUGAAUGUUAAGUUAUUACUUUAUUGUUCUAAAAGAUAAAAAAUUAAAAAUUAAACUAUAAAUUAAAAAUUUAUUUGAAUGUUAAGUCUGAUUUAAAAAGUAUUCUAAAAAAUUAAACUAUAAAUUAAAAAAUGAAAAUACAAUAUUUUAAAUGUCAUUAUCUCCUAAAGACUAUUUAAAAAGCAUGAUUAUAACUAACAAUGAUUUUUUUUUUUUCCAUUUUAGUGAUGAUAUCAUAGGUGGUGUCUCUUUAUUCAACAACUUUUGUGAAUAUAAUAAAAAAGAAAAUUGAAAAAAACAAAACUAAGUGUAUGUAGAAGCUGUGGUUUUGAUGCACUGCGAAGAUCUCAAGACCAGGUUGCGUUCCUAAAGUUUUGAGCUUGCUCAAGGUAUGAUUCCAAAGCCUCACUUUAAUUAGGCUUGUUAGAGUACACAGUCCAGUUAACUUAAACAAAUAAUAAGAUGAUAAAAUAAUCUAGUUAUAUACAUAAUUAGCUUUUAUAUAAUUAAAAUCAGCUUUUAAGAAGUUACAAAAAAGAAUGUUUAUUUUGUAGGUAUCAGCAGCAAUCAUGUUUGAUCUUGUAGUUGAAACCAAUGCUUGCUUCCCCUUCAGUUGUGCUUUAGAUCUAUGUUGAUUACUCAAGUCCAUUUGCAAACCAGUAAUCUCAUUUCAUCCAUGCAUCUCUAAGCUAAGUAAUGUGAAUUAUUUCUGGCCAAAUAUAUGCACAUCCAUGAGUAAACUUCCCAGCUUCAGCUGAUAACACUCAUUGAACCCCAACCAGGAUGAUGAACGACAUCUGUGCUGCUAAUAACUUCAAAAUCAAGACAAAAUAGGACUGGCCCCACGAGGCAAUUCUGGAGGAUCCAACCUAAGACAGAGCCAAAGUGUGCUGUAAGGACCAAAAUACUAAAUCAAGUAAAUGGCGUAUAUAACGGUGACAUACAAAAGUUGUUCAGAAAACAAAGAAACAUGAAAGUAUUGAUGAAAUCCCACAUUAUGAGCUAUAUGUCGGUUUCUUAAUCUAUUUCACAACUUUUUAUAAAGUAAACAUUUAAUAAAAUUAAUAUUUUCAUGAAAAUGUAUAAUAAAUUUUGGAUAAAUAAUAAAAUAAAUAUAAUCUUAUAUUCAACAUUUACUUAUAUUUUAAAGGUAUGUUAUUCAAUAUAACAAAGACAACAAAUGAAAUGCUAAUUAAAUUUUAAAAACUAAUCCUUGAGAAUAAAAAAAGAGAAAUAUACUUUUGGAGGAAAGUCAUCUUGGUCAUAGGAGAGAAAGUGUCACGAUAAUCAAGGUCAUAAACAUGAGUGUAUCCUUUUGCAACUAACAGGGCUUUGAAUCGAUCAACUUCACCAUCAGGACCGACUUUAAUUGCAUAUACCCAUCGUCAACCAAUUAUCUCUUUGCCCAGUGGAAGGGGCACAAGCUCCUAAGUAUUACCAUGGUCAAGGGUUUACAUUUCUGCAAUCAUCACUUGUCGCCAUCUAGGAUGAUCAAGUACUUGAUUCACAUUUUUGGGAAUAACAACAUAAGACAUUGAGGAUAGAAAGGAAUAAUACGAAGGUGACAAUAUGUGAUAACUAAAAAUAUUAUAAAUGGAAUGUGGGUUUCAAGUGAAACGAGUACCUUUUUUUGAGAAAAAUGGGUCAUUUAGAAUCUUCUUCACUAGGAGUCAUGGUAUUAAGUGAUGAGGGAGUAGAAUUUGAAGUAGGGGAUUCAUCUUGUUCUUGGAGAACUGGACUAAUGGGGUCCUGUGUUGGAGGAUAACAAUAUGUGGAGAUGAUGGUUUAGGAGGACUUUGAUCAAGACUUGGAUUGACAAAGACAUUAGAAAUAUUGGAGGAUAUCAAUAUGUGGAGAUGAUGGUUCAGGAGAACUUUGAUCAAGACUUGGAUUGAUAAAGACAUUAGAAAUAUUGGACUCAACCACUAGAAUAGGAAGGACCUAUUGUAUGACAUAAACCUCUUAAACAAAUGGAGAGAAGUACAUGCAAUACUUCUUAGUUUCAAGAGAGUAAUAUCGGUACCCUUUUUGAAGUCGUGCAUAGCCCAAGAAGAUAGAUUUGAUAGAACGAGAAGAGAUUGUCCUAGACUACUAGGCACAUAACUAGGUGCAGAGUAGAGAUAACCCAACACACUACUCUCUACUUUAGUCCUAGUGAUUAUACUAACAUAAGGAGACCUAAUAAUUAUUCCAACACUAAUAAACUUAUAAACUCAAACUACUUGUAGAAAACUUAGAUUUAUGAUUUAGUAUUUGAAAUCUUUAGAAUUUAGGGUUAGAUGAAAACUACUCAAAACAUAUAAAAAUCAUAUUGGUUAUACUUACAAUCGAUGUGUCAUCAAGAAAAAAAUAUUUGGAGCAUGGACAAAUGCCAGUGACCAAAUAAUAGAUCUAAAAUACAUUCUAAUACCAUUUUAGAGUGAUAGAGCAUGCUACCUGCUAAUGUCUACUAAACUUUAAAUUCUAGAUAUUUUGUCUUCCUGGUGAAGGGAGGUGUGUCCGGAUGUAAUACCUUGGUGAUAAAUAUGGCCAUAAUAAAAUUGAACCCCAGAAAAAUGUGGGUAGCAAAAGUCAAAAGUCGUGAACCUUAACCACCACCAGGAUCAAAUACCAUGUUAAGGCCUAAUCUUUCAGGUAUGGGUUAGUGAGUGACAUGUCUAAAAUCAAUUUGACUUAUACGAUUUUAAUUGUUUGGCCCAGGCCUCUGUUAAUUUUAUACAUCCAAAAUUGGCUAGUAGUGAAAUUGGUUUCUCCAAAAAAAUUCAGUGUUUUGAUACUUGGCAUUUAAUAAAUAUAUUGGAACUACUGACAAUAACUUUAUUACUGUUCAAUUGGUAGUGUUGACGUAAAAAUAUCCCAGUCAGAUAUUUAACGACAUUGCCAAAAUUAACAUGUCAACACUGCUAAUUCGAAGGUAAUAUAGUAACUGUCAGAACCAAAGUAACAUUGAUUAUAAAAAGCCACUGCAACAAAUUUUAGGAACCAAUUUUAGAUGUACAAAAACUUACGUAACUUUUAUUUUCAUAUUAUAAUUUUAUCUUUAAAUUACAGAAGCUCCUAAUAGACGAUACUGACAUACCUAAUCCUAACUAUAAAAUGCGACUAGGCUAACAAUGACCCUAAACAUCCUAUGACCCAACAGAGUCAUUGCAUGCAUGCACCACAAAAUAGGACUAACAUUUAAUGCAUUACUAUGCAGCCACAUUAACAAACAUGACAUUCACGUCUCACCUUUGUUUGACCUUGAUCAUUCCAGUACCUAUUGUAAUUGGUAUACCCAUGAUUAUGGAUUCACUUACUCCACCAAUUGAGUCAUCCCUCCCACGUACAGAUGCCUGGAAAAGAAUAUCUGCUGUCCUCUCGAAUGAUGCAAGCAUUAUUAUACUUUUACCCAUCUUUGAAAUUCCAAAUCUAUUUAUUCCGAGGAUAUGACCCUAGUUUGAAAAAUUAAUUACAUUAGCGAAAACCAGAAUAUUUAGCAUCAAUGCAGAUAUAGUAACUUUUGUUUAAUUUUCUACUGAAUAAUUUCCAAAGAACUCACUGUGGAAGUCAUCACAUCUGCUAGAAGCAUCAUAUGCCGCGUGUCUAUAUUCAUUCCAUGUGUAUCCACCAUUGUAUACUUUAUCUCCUUAACAAUGCACUCUCUGGCAGCUUCAAUUCCCAGAGUAUCCCGCACUUCAAGAAUAUGAUUACUAAGAGUUUUACAUCCAUCAACCCCUUCCACUCCCAUAACCUCUCGAAAGCCCAUGCUGAUGGGGGAAAAUAACAAUGCAUGCAGAUUAGGAAAUAAACUUAAAAAAUAAGGAACAUCAAUAGAAUGGAAUGCUAUGAAUUGCCGAGGGUGCAGAUCAGGAAGUAAACAAUUAAAAAACUGCAAAAUUACUGCUUCUGAGGGAAGAUAGUUUUCUUUAUCAUUUAAUCACUAAUCCUUAAAUGUACAGGUAAAUAUAACAAGAGUGUACUAGCUCAAGUUCAACUUAUACAAUAGAACAGUCCUCUAUCGAAGUUCUUUUAGUCCAUAAUGCACCCUAUAAUCAAACAAUCACUUCAUAUGUGAUAGUAUAUGUGUCAGCCCAUGUUGCUAAAGGCCUGACUGCAAGGGCUGCCAACUCUACUAAUUUACUGUCCACUGUCUUCUAGAGACUUCAAAUACAAUUAGGCAGGUAUCAAUCAAGAAGAUCAGUCACAGCUGUAGCUGUUUGUCAGUUAGAACUGUCUCAGUUUCCCAUAACUUUUAUGGAGAGUUAGCUAGUUUUCUAACUUGUAGCACAAGCUUAUAGUGCAAGAUAAAAACCUAAAAAUAGUAUAACAGUUUGAGAUCCUUUUGCAAAGAUUGGUUCAAAAAAAAAAUAAUUUAAGGCUUCUAGACUGUCCAAUUGCUCCAAACUGUCAGUAGAUGUAUACCUUCUAAUAUCAGUGUGGAUACUAGUUGAAAAUGAGACAUUAUUAUUCUCAAAUCAUAAAAAAUACAUUCUCAAACCUUCUAUUUAUAAUAAUCUAGUUCUUCUAAAAAGGAAAAUAGGAAAAUUAGGAAACCUAAAAAAAAAUAAAAUAAAAUAAAAUAUCAUGUAUUUAUUUUCUCUAAUUAAGAAGAUUCUAUAGAUAUUAUCCCAGAUUACAACAAUACUCUCACUAAAACAUAUAAUCUCUAGGCAUCUAUAGUUAUUAUCAUUUGAAUAAGCCGACUAAGUGGCGUUCCAGUUCAAUAAUAGGAACAUUGUUCACAUCUUCCAUGCUAGUUUAGGCAUGUUAUAUAAAUAAAAACCUGUAUUGAUAGUUAUUGUUAACUGAGAGUUGUUCAACUAUAAUAACAAAAAACUCUGAUUUGAGAGAGAGUUCACUAAGAGAAGAACUUCAAGUUAAGACCUGUGUUCACAAUGAAUUCUCUCGUGGACAUAGAUUAAAGUUCAUUAAUGUUAGAAGUGGAUUCUAGGCCUAACUUAACCCCACAAAACCGGCUUGUAAGGUGAGGUUUGCACCUCACUUAUAUAUUAUAAUUUGGCCUUAUCUCUAGUCGAUAUGGGACUUCCAACACACCUCCUUCACGCCGAGGUAUAGACAUCUCGUGCGUGAUAGUAGAAAUUGGGUGGUCCAAAACCUCACCUUACAAGCCGGUUUUGUGGGGUUAAGUUAGGCCUAGAACCCACUACUAACAUGGUAUCAGAGCUAUGGUUAGAGUCUAUCCUAGUGAUAUUUAUUGGGCAGAUUGUUCCACCCGCUAUUGGGCCGUUAUUGGACCACCCAUUAAUAUCUAGUCUCACACUCGAGAUGUAUAUACCUCGGCGUGAGGGGGGUGUGUUGGAAGUCCCAAAUCGACUACAGAUAAGGCCAAUUUAUAAUAUAUAAGUGGGGUGCAGACCUCACCUUACAAGCCGGUUUUGUAGAGUUGAGUUAGGCCUAAAACUCACUUUCUAACAUGGUAUCAGAGCUAUGGUUAGAGCCUAUCCUAGCGAUAUUUAUUGGGCAGAUUGUUCCACCCGCUAUUGGGCCGUUAUCGAACCACCCAUUAAUAUCUAGUCUCACGUUCGAGAUGUAUAUACCUCGACGUGAGGGGGGGUGUUGGAAGUCCCACAUCGACUAGAGAUAAGGCCAAUUUAUAAUAUAUAUAAAUGGGGUGCAGACCUCACCUUACAAGCCGGUUUUGUGGAGUUGAGUUAGACCUAGAACUCACUUCUAACAAUUAACACUUGAUCAGAACCAUGUUACUUUUGAUUGUGAUUAUUUCUUGUUUUUCUUUUGUUUAUCUUGUACCUUUUUCAUUUGCGAAGUUUUUGGUUCUUGUUUGUGGUAGAAGCUUCUACAAUGAGUUUGUUUAGAGCUAUUCCAUAACAACCUACCAUGCCUUCUGACUCUACUCUUUCACCACCAGAUUUGCUAUAACCUGGGCACGAUGAGCAAAGCUUCAAGCCACAUCUCUUCGACCAGAACCUCAGGUAUAGCACCAGCCUAUGGCCAUCUCAAAUCCUCCAGAUUCAAUUUUCCCCUAGUUAAAGAAAAUUUGGAUGAAAAGAACUAUCCCAUUUAGUAAAAAUGGAUCAGCAACGAUAAAAGCUCACUUGGUAAAAGCUCAUAGCUGUGAUUAAGCAACGAUAUUGCUGGUCAUCACUAAUCUGUGUCUGAAGUUUACUUCAGCAACCCUUUGGUCUAAAUUCCCAACCUCAAAAGCCAUAUAAUAUGCAUGCAAACAUGUAUAUAAAGUAGAUUAAAGGAGCAUGAGUCAUAAAAAACAGGAUGAACUAACCCUUUUACCAGUAAUUUGAACUUUUCAGCCUUGGUGAUUUUAUCUUCUUCUUUACUGAUAACAACUCGAUCAGCAGUUUUAAUUCCCUGCAAUAAAGGACAUGCAUGUUUUCCCAUAUAUUUAUCUGGAAAUAAAUACAAAACUGUAAAACCACACUAAGCGAGCAUAAUAUUUCCUUCAUUAUGUAUCAUUCAUGAAUCGAAAUAAAAUACCUUUACUACAACUGUUGGAAGCAAAUUUUUUAGAUAAUGAAGCUGAAAAUGCAAUUUACUUCUAUCGGCAUCUUGGGGAACAACUCGAAGCUUUUUAAUAUCUAAAAUCUUGAUGUGCUGCAUAUCAACAAAAAGCUUUGAAUAUGGCAGGCAAAAAAAGAAAAAGAGAUCAACAAUAACAAAAUUAACUCUUCACCUCUGGCUUCAGUUUCGUCUUUUUAGUUUGUAAAAUUGAUUCUUUAACAGUAUUAGCAUCUAUAUUUAGAUGUGCGUCCUGGAUUCUUUCCAUGUCAAGGGUGAUAGCAACUGACGCUAAUUUUGAAGUCAAAACAACUUUUAUACUCUUCGCAACCUAUGUCAAUUGGCACAAUUAAAUUAAUGGGUACACAGAAAAAAGCUGUCCCAAGACAUUACCAAAAGAAUGAAAACAUGAAAAUAGUCGCUUAAUCAAGAUAUUGAUACAAAAACAUGAUUGAUUCUUACAAAUUAGUAAAGAUAAAACUAAAAUGUAGCCCCAAUGCUUUAAAUAAUAAAUGGUUAUAAAUUAAUAUAAUUAAAAAUGAUUUUAUAUAUAUCUUUAGAAUAUUUUAGAAUCUUACUAUGAAAUAAUAAAAGAGAUGAGGGGAAAUCUCCCUUAUGUGUCUUUGCAUACACAUAGGGUAAUGUAUUUAUAAUAAUAAGAGUGUGGGCUAAGUCCAAAUACAAAUGAACAUGUAAAUGAAAUAAACACAAUAUCUAACACUCCCCCUCAAGCUGGAACAUAUAAAUCAUAUGUUCCAAGCUUGUUACAAAGAUAGUCAAUUCUAGGUCCUCGCAAGGACUUAGUGAAUAUGUCUGCCAACUGGUUACUUGAGUUAACGAACUCAGUCUUGAUAUCUUCGGAUAUGUUUUUUUCUCUAAUAAAAUGACAAUCAACUUCAAUGUGCUUGGUUCUCUCAUGGAAGACAGGGUUAGAGCUAAUAUGAAGAGCAACUUGAUUAUCACAUAUAAGUGUCAUGUGAGUGANAUNUCCAAAUUUCAAUUCANUAAGUAAUUGUUUAAGCCACACAAGCUCACAAGUAGCUGAUGCCAUAGCUCUAUAUUCUGCUUCUGCACUGGACUUAGCCACAACACUUUGCUUCUUACUUUUCCAAGAUAUCAGGUUGCCACCAAUAGAGACACAAUAUCCAGANGUAGACCUCCUAUCAGAAGGGGAACCAGCCCAAUCAGCAUCUGAAUAGCACACGAUUUUUGUAUCGUUGUUAGGACCAUAUAGCAAACCUUUUNCAGGUGAUCCUUUAAUAUACUUCAGUAUGCAAACCACUGCAUCCCAAUGGUCUUCACAUGGAGAGUUAAGGAAUUGACUCACCACACUAACUGCGAAGGAAAUGUCAGGACGCGUAACAGUAAGAUAGUUUAAUUUACCAACUAAUCUUCUGUAACGUUCAGGAUCUGAGAAAGGCUCCCCAUGAUUUGGUAGGAGCUUGAUGUUAGGAUCCAUAGGUGUCUCAACAGACUUACAGUUCAUUAACCCUGUUUCCUGCAAGAUGUCUAACGCAUACUUCCUCUAAGAUAUGACAAUACCAUCAUUGGAUUGUGCUACUUCAAUACCCAAAAAAUACCGGAGUUUGCCAAGAUCUUUGGUUUGAAAAUGGUGACAAAGGUGCUGUUUCAUCUGAGAGAUACCAAGGUAGUCGCUUCCUGUGAGAAUAAUGACAUCGACAUACACUAUUAAGUAGAUACAUCCAGCACUUGAGUGGCGAUAGAACACUGAAUGAUCCGCUUCACUGCGAGACAUACCAAAUUGUUGAACAACACUGCUGAAUUUACCAAACCAGGCCCGAGGAGACUAUUUUAGGCCAUAUAGGGAUUUGCGAAGACGACAUACCAAUCCAGAUGACUCCCCCUGAGCAACAAAGCCAGACGGUUGCUCCAUGUAAAUUUCUUCCUGCAAAUCACCAUUAAGGAAAGCAUUUUUGACAUCAAGUUGGUAAAGAGGCCAUUGUCGAAGAGCGGCCAUGGCAAUGAAAAGGCAAACAGAGGUCAUUUUCGCCACUAGAGAAAAAGUAUCACCAUAAUCCAAACCAAAAAUUUGUAUGUAUCCUUUGGCAACCAGUCGAGCCUUCAAACGAUCAAUUGUACCAUCAGGGCCAACCUUGAUAGCAUACACACACCUACAACCAACAACGGACUUUCCAGAUGGUAAUUGGACAAGCUCCCAAUUUCCACUUUUCUGUAAAGCAAUUAAUUCAUCCAGCAUGGCUUGACGCCAACCAGGAUGAGUUAAGGCAUCACCCACAGACUUGGUAAUGGACACAGAAGAAAUGGAUGAGAGACAUGUGUAAAAAGAUGGAGAUAAUCUGUGGUAACUAAGAACAGUAUAAUGGGGGAAGGGUUACGAGUAGAGCGUAUACCUUUACGGAGGGCAAUAGGCAGGUCAGACUCAUUUGCUAGAGCCGGAGGAGACACCGGAGGGCCCAAGGUUAAAAUCGGGGUAUUGUUCCUGUAUAGUGAUUUGGUUCUCCCAGGUAGCCCCUUCCGACCCUCUUUCUUGCCACUCAACUAGCAGUUGUGGUACACUCUCCCCUCCUUCAUGUAGUUGCCUCCUUCCCAAGAUAUUUAUGGGCUAGAAUGAAGGUCUGUCGGCCUGCAGGUCCUAUGGUAAGUCCCUCUCCACCCUUUGUUCUCCUAUUGCCUUCUUCACCUGUGAAACAUGGAAGACAGGAUGAAUUCUGGCUGUCUCCGGUAGCUGCAACUUACAGGCAUUCUCCCCAACCUUCUAAACCACCUGGAACGGCCCAAAGUAUCUAGCUGCUAACUUUGGAUGGAGCCUUGUUGGCAUGGAUGUUUGUCUAUGAGGUCAUAUCUUCAAAUACACCCAGUCCCCUACUUCUACAUUCGCAACCUUCCUCCUUUUAUUAGCUUGCCUAACCAUAAGAUCCCGCGCCCUUUCCAGAUGAAAUUUUAACUGUUUCUGGGCUUCAUCCCUGGUUUGGAGCUCCUAACUCACAGCCUCCACCAAUGAUUCACCAGGAAUGAACCUAUGCAAAGUGGGAGGCGCUCUCCCAUACACGACUUCAAAUGGGGUGCACCUUAUUGCUCCUUGGUAGCUCGUGUUGUACCAAUAUUCGGCCUACGACAACACGAUCAUCCACCCCUUGGGCUGCUCUGAACAGAAACACUUAAGAUAACCCUCAAAAACACGAUUUAGAACCUCCGUCUGGCCGUCCAUUUCAGGGUGGUAUGCGAUACUCAUCUUUAACUGCGUACCCUGACCCUUAAACAGUUCCUUCCAAAAUAUACUUAGGAACAACGGAUCCCGGUCGGUCACUAUAGAUUGCGGUAUCCCGUGCAACCUCACAAUUUCUCUUAUAAAAACGUCAGCCACUGUUUACGCCGAAUAAGGGUGCUUGAGUGGUAAGAAGUGUGCGUGUUUGCUCAAGCGAUCCACCACUACCAAGAUUGCGUCAUACCCUUGGGACUUAGGCAAGCGAACUAUGAAAUCCAUACUCAACUCCUCCCAUACUACGUUCGACAUCGACAAAGGUUGUAGUAAUCCUUGAGGUGAAGAUGUUAAGUACUUGUGUUGUUGACACACAAGACACUUAGCCACAAACUCCGUUACAUCCUUUUUCAUUCCAGCCCAGUACAAUGAUUAUGCUAUGCGCCUGUAAGUCCUGUACACUCCAGAAUGGCUUCUGUAUGUGUCACAUGGAAUUCGGUAAUUAACUUUGGGAUCCAUUUGGACUUAGCCGAAAACACCAAUCUACCUUUGUGGUGGAGCCUCUCAUGUUCUACUGUAUAAGCGGGAUGGGUGUUAGGGUUUCUCCUUAUGUCGUCCAAUACCUUCUGCAAAAACUCAUCCACCUCUACUUCUUGCGUUAUCUCUCCAAAAUCUUGCCAAAAAGGUCUCGCUAUUACACUUAACUCUUUCUCCCCUUCAUCUUCCCCUUCAAACUGCCUUGAAAGAGCAAUCCUGUCCUGUAAACGAUUUCGAAGUCGUAUCCCAGUAGCUUAGCAAUCCAGUCCUGCUGGUUCUGGGUGGUAAUACGUUGUUCCAGCAGAUGACGGAGACUCUUCUGGUCCGUAUGAACCACAAACUGUUGCCCCACCAGAUACGGCCUUCAAUGCUGAAUUGCUAACACCAGGGCCAUCAUUUCCUUUUCAUAGAUGGACUUGCUUAAUUUUCCCAUAGACAGAGCCUUGCUAAAGUAGGCUAUUGGAUUUCUUCCCUGCAUCAGAACGACUCCCACGCCACUUCCCGGCGUAUCACACUCUAUAUGGAAAGGUUGUGUGAAAUCGGGCAACGAUAAUACGGGUGCAGUCAUCAUUUUUCUCUUCAAGUUUACCCACGCCUCCUCUGCCUUUCCAUUCCACGAGAAUCCACCUUUCUUCAGUAAUUCUGUCAAGGGUCUGGCGAUCUUGCCGUAAUCCUGGACGAACCUCCGGUAAUACCCCGUUAACCCCAGAAAUCCCCUCAGACUUUUCACUGUUUUCGGACGCUCCCAUUCCACCGCUGCCUUGAUCUUCUCGUCAUCCAUCUCCACACCCUUAACUGCCCCAAGUACUUAACUUGGGUCUGUCCAAACUCACAUUUCCUCCUGUUCGCAACCCACUGGUCUCGCUGUAGAACCGCGAGUACGAAUUUAACAUGCUCGAGAUGCUCCUCCCAAGUGCGGCUGUAUACUAGAAUCUCGUAAAAAAAUACGAGAACGUACCUGCUUAGAUAGGGCUGGAACAGAGCAUGCAUUGCACUUUGAAUGGCAUCACUACGAACUCGUAGUUCCCCUGAUGUGUUCGGAACGCUGUUUUUUCCACAUCCAGUUCGCUCAUAUGAAUUUGGUGAUAGCCGGCUUUUAGAUCAACUUUCGAAAAAUAAGACGCCCCCUUCAGCUCAUCUAACAACUUCUUGAUCACUGGUAUCGGAAACUUGUCCAACACCGUCGCUCUGUUGAGUGCCCAAUAAUCGAUGCAAAAAUGUCAGCUGUCGUCUUUCUACUGCACUAGGAUUACCGGACUUGAGUAGGGACUGUGGCUCGGUCGGAUCACCCUCGUGCAUAGCAUUUCGGCAAUCUGGUGCUCUAUCUCAGCUUUAAUGGCAUGUGGGUACCAUGGCCGAACGUUAACCGGAUCGACCCCCUCUUUAAGUUGUAUGUGGUGUUCAACCUCUCGGCUAGGUGACAGCUUCGUAACUUCAGAGAACACCACAUCAUAAUUCUCCAAAAGGCUCUCCAUCUCUCUUUUCAGUGCGGCCCACGUUCUUCAAUUUACUAUUUUGGGCCUCCAUUAAGCCCAACUCCCAAACCACGUACCAAGACUCAUCCCUGUCAAUGUUCAGUAAAGCUUUGGGGCCCACCACUCUGCGUUCCAACGUGGGGUCACCCUUCACCGUCACCUCCUUUCCUCCUUGAUACACCAUUCUCAACUUCCGCCAGUCUACCAUUACUUCUCCUAGCUUCUCCAACCACUCCACCCCGAGAAUUACUUCAACUCCCCCAAGUUGAAACAGGUAAAACCUUUCAACCAGCUGAGCUUUCCCAAGCUCCAAAUUCACCCUCUCACAACACCCGCUAAUUCUCUUCUUCUGACCGUCCCCUAGACUCACCAUAUAAGGCUGCGUGUUCGUCACCGUCAUCCGCAAUUCCUUCACCACCCUCUGAUCAAUAAAGUUGUGGCUCGCGCCACUAUCAAUUAAAACCAAUACCACUCUUUGCCCAAUGCAUCCUCGCAACUUCAUCGUUUUGGGUGUCGUCAAUCGUCGAUAACUCCAUCAUCGCAAGGUUCGACUCCGUCCCCUCUUCGCCUUAAGCCUCUUCCUCGUCCUUCACUACAAUUAGCAUUUUGAGACAACUUUCUGGGCAGAGAUGGUCGGGGCUGAAGGGUCCGCCGUACCUGAAACAACGUCCCUCCUCCCUCCUUUUAGGAUACUCCGAGUAUGGUAGAUUGCGAACAUUCCGAUCACUUCCGCCGUUGAUAGCCAGCCCUUUAUUCCGCCCUUGGGUCGCGUCUUUCUUACCGGACCCCACGCUUUCCGUCGAUCCUCCUCGUACCGUCGCAUUGCGAUUAGGGUCAAUUCGCAUCACUGAACCCAUCGAAUUUCCCCAAGAAUUUUGAUUCUUGGACAUCCAUCCUCCUCCCAUUUUCGAAAUCGCGCACAACUUCUCCAUAUCUCUCGCCACCCGCAUGAUAGUCAUCAAAUCCGGUGGGUCGUGUGGCCGGACAUGAUCGCCCACCUCCUCCUGUAAGCUAGACAGAAAAUACCCCAUAAUCUUCUCCUCGGGUACCUGGGUCGUUUGCCCCACCAGAACUUUGAAGUAGUAUAUGUACUCCUCCACCGGCCCCGCCUGACGUAUGGUCGAGAGCCUCUCGUACACCGUUCCUCGUGUUCCUCCCCCAAAUCGUAUUCCCAGAGCCCUCUUCAACCCAUCCCAAGAAAGGUUCUUGGUCUUCUCUUGCCAGAAUCGGAACUAGCUUCCAGCGCAGCCUUCCAUGCUAAUAAAGGCCAAUCCCAACUUCUCUUCCUCAGCCACCUUUUGGACUUCAAAAAACUUCUUCGCUCGGCCUAUCCAUAUCCAAGGCUCGCCCCUUCAAAUACGGGUAACUCGACCAACUUUCUCCAAUUACUCAUCCCUUUGUGAUUACCUUCUCCGCCUUUCUCCCUUCUGCCACUAGGUCCUCCCCUGUUAUUGUUCAUCGAUGACUGACUCUCCUCACGCUGCUGGCCUCUGUGAUUGUGUUUAAGUUCUCUAAGCGUUUUCAAGAUCACCUGGACGUCCUGUCGUAUCGUCACUGUCUCCUUUCAUAGGGCCCCCGUGUCAGCUUUCGUCUUGGCGAUUACAAUCUUGACCGCCUCCAAAUGCCCUUCGACUACCACCACUCUUCCCCCCAUCACUCGCUCACUUCUCCUCAUCGAUUGGGAUCCGGCAGGUCAGACCAAAUGAUAGGUUCCUAGAUUGGGUAUGCUUUCACCGACUUCACUCUUAUGCAAAUAAAAUCACUUCCUCUUCAUUAAUAUGUCAAUGUGAAUAUAUUAAUUUACUCAAAUCCCAAUCCCUUGGUAGAAAGAGCCUAGAUUCACUUAUUAAAUCCUAAUCCUUUGGCAAUCUAACAAGUUCACCCGCAUUAAGAAAUGAGAUUUUAAGACAAGCAAAGGUCCUAGUUCUAUCCCUAGACACUAUUUCCUUUAGGUGUUUAACCCAAGUCCGGAUUUACUCAACAUUUCUCAAUAUUAAGCAAACCCUAAAAUCAAGUCAUGGGUAGCUAGUUCACAACAAGCAUUAAGAGAAUGAGAGUUAAACACUAACAAUCAAUGAAAGAUGUAUAUAUUCAUUCAAAACAAAGUGAUUUACAUAAGAGUUCAGUGGCUACAACAAUCUUGUUCUUCAUUUUUGUUGCUCUUCUUGCUUUUCUUGGUUUCCAAUGCCUUCAUUUGAUGCAUAGACUUCUUCCAAUUCCAUUAAGCACAUGAAAGCAAGGAUUAGUGAACAAAAUAUCUCAUUAAAACUUGGGGUGCAACCACUUAACAAACUAAAAGAAAACUAGGAUUUACAAGGUAAAAAGUUAAGAAAAGGUUGACAUUUUCUCUUGAUUUAUCACUGAAAUAAUGGUAAAAUAUGUCAUUAUCAGCUAUGCGAAAGCUGUUGUAGAGGUUACUUUUUCUUGCAGAGAAGAGGAAUUGGGGUUUAUGCGUGAGGGGGGUUUUUGAUUAGCAUUAACUCUAGUUGUGGUUAUGGUCAAUGAUUGUGAGAACUUGGCUUAUGGUUUGCUGGAAUUUUUCUUCAGCGGAAAGGAUUUGGAAUAGAUUGAGGGAAUCUGUUUUGUUUUGUUUUGUUUCUUUUUUUUUAGGUGCAGAUUGAAAAGGCAAGGGUGUUGUGAUGUUUGGGUCUUAUUGGGUUCACUUGGUCUCUUCUGUUUUCUUUUUUUUUAAUGCAGGAGAGCUAGGAGAAGGGGUGACAAGGAGGACAAAAGGGAGGAUAUUGUAGGCAAAGCUGUGUAUGGGAAGCCAAAGGGUGAAUACGGAAGGAUGAUGGUGAUGUUGGGUGAGGGUAAAGAUUGUAAAACCCUAAAAAUUGUAGAGCUUAAUUAUAAAACUGUAUCUUGGUCUACCUUUAAGAUUAGUGAAAAUUCAUGUCUGUAGCCCAUUAGUGAUAGCUCCUUGUGGAGUUAAUGAUUUUUUUUGUGCUCUAAUUUUGCUGAAUAAAUAAAUAAAUUANUUGUUUUAUUAAUUUACUGUUUAAUGUAUAUAGUGUGGCCUGUAUUUUCAUUUAUGUUUUGUUUGUUUGGCUGUUAUAUUUUAAAUAUUUAUUGUGGGGCCACUUAGCUUAUAUUAAAAUUUGGGUAACAGCAUAAUUAAAAUAUCUAAGGGAGUUUUGGAACCACUUUUCCGAAAAGAAAGGCAACAGAUAGGGGUUAGUAGAUGGGGUGGUUUAUUUAAGGGAGGGGCUCUGGAAAAAUGGGGGAAUGCAGAGUUUAACGGAAAGAGGAUAAAGUAGUGUGUGCACUAGGAGAUAGGAAAAAAAAUCAAAAGAGUAUUUUGAAGUUUUCUUGGAAGCAAGAACGUUAACGUGAAGGAGGUGAAAGUUUUGGAUUCUCAAUCUUGGGCCAAGAAAGAAAGCUAGGAUUUAUCUAAGGUAAGGGAAGCUUACCAUUAUUUUGUGUUUGAUGAUUAGUAUUCUUGUUGUGAACCUUUGUAUGAUUCAUGUCAAUACUACUUGUUGUUUAAUCAAGAUUCAAUGUAUACUGUGAUGAAUGGUUUCGUGAACUCAUGUAUCUGCUCUUUUUGUGUAAAGGGUUUAAUUAUAUUCAUCACGGUUACUGCGUGUAUGUAUCAGUAUGUCUAUAAAUGUUGUGUGGCUAUAUUAUGAACGUGUUGGGUGUAUCAGAUGAGAAAAAUGUUUCAUCUAUUUCAAUAUUAUACUACAUGCAAAGAAGAAAAUAGAACCUGUUGUGUUUAGUAAGUGGGAGAGUCAUGAUUUCAGGUAAGGUUUGCGUAAAGUGAAUAUACGCUUAAAUGUAUAUUGUAUGAACUCGACGAAGGCCAGGGGUUUUUGUUUUUCCGUUCUCAGGUUUCAUUAUUUAAUGAAUGCAUGGGGUACAUGGUGUAUGGUGGUUUCAGAUAAUCGUAAAUGUGUUGUUAGGGUAGACUUGGAGGGAGACCUAAGAUUUAAGUUUGAGAUGGAUUAUUAAGGUUGCACUGAUUAUAUCAGAAUGAAGUGAAACUCUGCUAGGUAAGGAUCAAAUGAGGUAUAAGGUUAGUAACCCAUGUAAAAAUGCAAUGGUGUGUGUGGGAGGGGAAAGCGAGAAGGAUAAAUAUUGGAUAAGAGGAGGACUAGUUGUAGAUAAUAGAUGAGAUGAAGGGUUGAUAUUGAAUGAAAGAGAAAUAAUUUAUUAGGUUUGAAUCAUUAUUGUGAGAAGAGUUUAGCUUUGAAUUAUAUAAGAAAGAAGAAGCAAAGAAAGGAAGUAGAAGUUUCAUUAAGGUUGAUGGAGAAGAAAGAAAUGCAGAGAUGAAAUCUUGCAGGGAGUUUGUAUCUUGCAUCGUUGAGAGGUUGAGUGCAUUAAAUGGGUCUGCAAAGUAAAUCUCGGAAUGUAAUGGUUAUAGGUGUUGAAUUCAUAAAGAAACCUGCAAAGUAAAAUUUUAGAGGUUAAUAUUUAUAUAUUUUGAGUACAGUAGUAUUCUCUUAGAGGUUAAUACAUAUACAUUUUGAGUACAGUAGUAUUUUUCUAGGUUUGGGGUGAUUUUGGGUGCUACCGAUGGUCAAGGAAUGCGAAAGUUAGUUCCUGAAAUAAUUUUUCCUGGAAGGAUUUAUAGAUAAUAUUAUUUUAAUUUGUAAUGAUUUAUUUUAUUAAAUUACGAUUCGACGUUUAUGAUUGAAGUUAUAUUAUAUUAGUUUAAUUUUAUUAUAUCACACGUUAUAUAAUUUAGUUAGGAUUCACGUGAUAUAGUUUAGUACGAAUAUUAUAUUAGGUUAUUAUAAGAAUAAUAUUCUGUGAUUGCAUAAAUGAUAUUAUAUUAGAAUAAAAGAUAAAAGAUAUAUUAUUAGGUGCAGAGAGUAUGUUAACAUAUGAAUUCUUUAUGUUUUAUUUUUUUAUAUUUUUGUAAAGUGUGGUUAUGUGCCUUAAAAAUUCAAAAGGCUCUAUGGUAGACGAGAGAGAUAGAAGUGUGGUUAUAUCGAUAAUUUUGUUUCGGCUGGUGUAUGUAUACGUGCAUAAGUUUUCUGCGUGACCGGGUGGUUUGGUAUCUAUUUUUUUUCAGUACCGUGAGUUAUGCUUAUUUUCUUUUGUAUGAUUUUAGAUUUGAUGGGUUUGAUACAAAUGUAUGUAAGGUGAUUAAGCAUGUGUAGUAAUAAUAUUUGAGGAGGAUCUCAAGUACUGAUAUUUUUGAAAUAUGUCCUCUCAUAUUAUUUGUAUAAAAAAACCGAUGUAGUACUUUUCCUCGUGCGAGAGGAUAGAAAGGUGAGUCUCUUCGUCUGACAGACGGUAGAAGAGAUAAGGUUCGAGUGCCACUCUUUCCUCUUUUGGAAGGGUAGAAAGGGUAGGAUGUCUUGCCUGUAGGUUUCCAAUCGAGCUGAGUAUAGUGCUCGUUGUUAAGUAGCGAGUUUUUACUCAUAAGUCUUGAGGAGCAGGGGAGAUAGAUCUGAAGCUGCGGUGGAGGAUGACUCGAACUAUCCUGUUUUGGUGAACAGGUGUCCUGUUUUGGUAAACAGGUUGAAUAUGAGAGAGUACAAAAAGACAGUGUAUAUCUUUUGUAUUUAUUGAUCUUGGUGUACUUAAUUGAAUACGUCAUGUUAACCAUAUCACUUUGUUUAUUAGUAAUUGAUGUGUUGAUGUUGUAUUUGAAUAUGGUAGCUUACUCUUAUUGUUUGUGUAUGAAUGCGAUGAUCAUUUAACUCGUGUUGUUAUACGGGAGCAGAUGUUGAUACAGAUGUUCCAGUUGAUAAUUAGAGCGGAAAGAAGUCGGGAGUGGAAUGGGGAAAGAUUUUCUUUGUUUUUNNACAUUUUCAGUUAAAUUGAAUUAUGUUAUUUUCAGUUGAUUUGGAAAUUUCCANUUUGUAAUAAAUUUCCCUUUUAUGGGACUGUGAUGGUUUAUUUUUUUUAUUACCUCAGUCUAAGAUUUAUAUGAAUGAAUUAUUUUGUUUUUCGCUAUCAAAAGAACAUAUUUUUUUUUAUAACUAUCAGAAUUGGGAUGUUACAAAGAUUACCAGUACAAGACAAGAAUGUGGCUAAAGGUUUUAGGUUACAAAGGAAAUGGCGAAAGGGAAAUACUCACACAAUAAUACAUACUGAAACAGGGCAGCUUUCAAACAUAAAGCAACAUACAAUGCAGCCAUGUUACAUGAUGAUUCAGGUGAGGAAGGUGUUACCUCUUGGAGCGCUGUUAUCUAUUAUUAAACCCUGAGAACCCCUCCUUGUGGCUUCCUUUAGUUGUUGCUGUGACAGGAUGAAGGACGCUGGUGUUGGAGGUCCAGGAGUCAAGAGCUUUCCCCUAAGUUGUGAUGGUUCGGCGUUGGUGGUGAGUCUCCUUGGUUCUAGCUGUGUUCGUGAGGUGCUGGAGGGGGAUCCAUGGUCCUUGCUCUAAUGGUCUUUUUUUGUGAUCUUUGUUGUGAUGAUGUAUCAAAAAAAAUAUUCUCUCUUCUUCCCCUGUAUUGACUGUGAUGAAGCCCCGUUUUUUUUUUCAAAGCACGCUCCCCUCUCUGCCUUCUGUAUUUGUAUCCCUUAGGAUUUCCGGUUUGUCUGUUUCUCUUUUUUAUUGUUUUCUCAUUGUAUCAGUUAGCAAAUACCAUUGUUGUAGGAGGAGCAGUCCUCUAUGUUAAGUAUUAAGCUUGCUGUGACAUGCUGUAGGAUAGAAGGCACUGCACGUAGAAUGCUCAAUUUGUGCUUGCAUAUGAGAAUGGAAAAAAACCAAGGCUGCAUUUCCUAAAAAAACUUAGUUGACCAUUACGUUUUCCUCUCUCUUUUUUUCUUCUUUUUUUGAUUUUUUUUGUUUUGUUAACUUUUAACAUAAAAAUAAAACUAAACAACUAAAAGAAACAUCACGUAAGAAUAAAGUAAAAUAACAUAAAAAUAGAAUUAAAAUAAAAACUAAUAUAAGAAAUGAAGAAGAAAAAAAGAAAAGAAAAAAAAUAUGAAUAUAAAAUGAAAUAAAAACAAAACUAAAAUGAUAAAAGACAUAAAAUAAAAUAAAGCAAAAAAAAUUAAAAAAAAAAACAUUAUUUAGUCACCUGGACGAAAUUAGAUGUUGACAAAACCCUAAACCCUAAACCCUAAGUAAUCCUAAAUAACCCUAAACCCUAAGCCUUAAAACCAAAAUAACCCUAAACCCUAAACUUUAAACCCUAAACCCUCAUAAACCCUUGACCCUAAUAAACCCUAAAAAACCCUAAACCCUAAGUAAACAUAAACCAUAAACCCUAAUAAAGCCUAGACCCUAAUAAACCCUAAAAAACCCUAAACCCUAAGUAAACAUACACCCUAAACCCUAAUAAACCCUAAUACCUAAAACCUAAACACUAAACCUUAAACCCUAAAAAACCCUAAACCCUAAAACCUAAACCCUAAAAAACCCUAAACCCUAAUAAACCCUAAACCCUAAUAAACUCUAAACCCCAAUAAACCCUAAACCUUAAACCCUAAACCCUAAUAAACCAUAAACCCUAAACCCUAAUUAACCAUAAACCCUAAAUAACCCUAAACCUUAAACGCUAAACCCUAAACCCUAAUAAACCCUAAACCCUAAACCAUAAAAAACCCUAAGCCUUAAACCUUAAGUAACCCUAAGCCCUAAACCCCAAAAUACCCUAAACUUUAAAGCCUAAAAAACCAUAAACUCUAAACCCUAAUCCCUAAACAACCCUAAACCCUAAACCCUAAACCCUAAUAAACCCUAAUAAAUCCUAAACCUUAAACCCUAAACCCUAAAAAACGCUAAAUAACCCUAAAUUACCAUAAACUCAAAAUAACCCUAAACCCUAAACCCUAAAAAACCCUAAACCAUAAUAAACACUAGACUUUAAAGCCUAAACGGUAAAAAGCCCUAAACCCUAAAAAACCUAAACCCUAAGUAACCGUGAAUAGCCCUUAACCCUAAGUAACCCUAAACCCUAAUAAACCCUAGACCCUAAUAAACCCAAACCCUAAAAAACCCUACACCAUAAACCCUAAACCCUAGAAAACCCCAAACCCUUAACCCUAAACCCUAAUAAACCCUAAAACCUAAACCCUAAACACUAAACCCUAAACCCUAAAAAACCCUAAACCCUAAAAAACCCUAAACCCUAAGUAACCCUAAACCCUAAGUAACCUUAAACACUAAACCCUAAUAAACCCUAGACCCUAAUAAACCCUAAACCCUAAUAAACCCUAGACCCUAAUAAACCCUAAACCCUAAAACCCCCUACACACUAAACCCUAAACCCUAAAAAACCCUAAAACCUAAAUCUAAACCCUAAAAAACCCUAAACCCUAGAAAACCCUAAACCCGAAAAAACCACAAACCCUAAAAAAGCCUAAACCCUAAACCCUAAAUAGCCCUAACCCUAAAUUACCCUAAACCCUAAAUAACCCUAAACACUAAACCCUGAACCAGAAACCGUAAACCCUAAAUAACCCUAAACCAUAAAUAACCCUAAAUUACCAUAAACCCUAAAAAACCCUAAACACUAAAUAACCCUAAAUCCUAAAAAACCCUAAACCAUAAUAAACCCUAAACCCUAAACAGUAAAAAGCCCUAAACCCUAAAAAACCCUAAACCAUAAGUAACCCUGAAUAACACUAAACCCUAAGUAACCCUAAACCCUACACCCUAAUAAACCCAAACCCUGAAAAACCCUACACCAUAAACCCUAAACACUAGAAAACCCCAAACCCUUACCCCUAAACCCUAAGUAACCCUAAACCCUAAUAAACCCUAAAACCUAAACCCUAAACACUAAACCCUAAAAAACCCUUAACCAUAAAAAACCCUAAGUAACCCUAAACCUUAAGUAACCUUAAACCCUAAACCCUAAUAAACCCUAGACCCUAAUAAACCCUAAACCCUAAUAAACCCUAGACUCUAAUAAACCCUAAAUCCUAAGUACCCCUAAGCCCUAAACCCUAAACCCUCAAAAACCCUAAACCCUAACUACCCGUAAGCCCUAAACCCUAAACCCUAAAAAACCCUAAACCAUAAAGCCUAAAAAACCAUAAACUCUAAACCCUAAACCCUAAAUCGUAAACAAUCCUAAACCCUAAACCCAAAUAAACCCUAAAAAAUCCUAAACCUUAAACCCUAAAAAACCCUGAAUAACCUUAAAUUACCAUAAACCCUAAAUAACCCUAAACCCUAAAAAACACUAAACCCUAAACUGUAAAAAGCCCUACACCCUAAAAAAUCCUAAACCCUAAACCCUAAGUAACCCUAAAUAACCCUAAACCCUAAUAAACCCUAGACCCUAAUAAACCUUAAACCCUAAAAAACCCUAAACCCUAGAAAAUCCCAAACCCUUAACCCUAAACCCUAAGUAACCCUAAACCCUAAUAAACCCUAGACCCUAAUAAACCCUAAACCCUAUAAAACACUACACCCUAAACCCUAACCCUAGAAAACCCCAAACCCUUAACCCUAAACCCUAAGUAACCGUGAACCCUAAAACCUAAUAAACCCUAAAACCUAAACACUAAACCCUAAACCCCAAAAAACCCGAAACCCUAAACCCUAAGUAACCUUAAACCCUAAACCUUAAACCCUAAACCCUAAUAAACCAUAGACCCUAAUAAACCCAAAACCCUUAUAAACCCUAGACCCCAAUAAACCCUAAACCCUAAAAAACGCUAAACCCUACCGCCUAAAAAACCAUAAACACAAAACCCUAAACCCUAAACAACCGUAAACCUUAAACCCUAAUAAAUCCUAAACCCUAACAAACUCGAAACCCUAAACCCUAAUACACUCUAAACCCUAAACCCUAAUAACCCUAACCCUAAAUUUCCCUAAACCCUAAACCCUAAUAAACCCUAAACCCUAAGUAACCCAAAUUGCUAAACCCUAAACCCUAACAAACCCUAAACCCUAAAAAACCAUAAACCUAAAUCCUAAGUAACCCUAAAUAACUAUAAACCCUAAAGAACCCUAAACCAUAAACUUUAAACCUUAAACGCAAAACCUUAAUAAACCCUAAACACUAAUAAACCUUAAACCCUAAAAAACCCUAAACCCUAAACCCUAAAACACGUUAAACCCUACCGCCUAAAAAACCAUAAACACAAAACCCUAAACCGUAAACCUUAAACCCUAAUAAAUCAUAAACCCUAAUAAACCUGAAACCCUAAACCCUAAUAUACUCUAAGACCUAAACCCUAAACCCAAAAAAACCCUAAACCCUAAAUAACCCUAACCCAAAAUUUCCCUAAACCCUAAACCCUAAAUAACCCUAAAUGCUAAACCCUAUACCCUAAAUAACCCUAAACCCUAAUAAACACUAAACCCUAAACCCUAAUAAACCCAAAACCUAAACCCUAAAUAACCAUAAACCCCAAAUAACCCUAAACCAUAAACUUUAAACCUUAAAUGCUAAACCUUAAUAAACCCUAAACACUAAAAACCCUAAACCCUAAAAAACGCUAAACCCUACCGCCUAAAAAACCAUAAACACAAAAUCCUAAACCCUAAAAUACCGUAAACCUUAAACCCUAAUAAAUCCUAAACCCUAAUAAACCCGAAACCCUAAACCCUAAUACACUCUAAACCCUAUACCGUAACGCAAAAAAACCCUAACCCUAAACCCUAAAUAACCCUAACCCUAAAUUUCCCUAAACCCUAUUAAACCCUAAUUAACCCUGAAUAACCCUAAAUGCUAAACCAUAAACCCUAAAUAACCCUAAACCCUAAACCCUAAUAAACCCUAGACCUUAAUAAACACUAAGCCCUAAAAAACCCUAAACCGUAAAAAAUCCUAAACACUAAACCCUAAGUAACCAUUAGCCCUAAACCCUAAAAAACCCUAAACCUUAAAGCCUAAAAAACCAUAAACUCUAAACCCUAAAUACUAAACAACCCUAAAUACUAAACAACCCUAAAUACUAAACAACCCUAAACCCUAAACAACCCUAAACCCUAAACAACCCUAAACCCUAAACAACCCUAAACCCUAAUAAACCCUAAACCUAAACCUUAAACCCUAAACCCUAAAAAACCUUAAACCCUAAAAAACCCUAAACCCUAAACCCUAAAAAACCCUAAACCCUAAAUAACCCUAACCCUAAAUAACCCUAACACUAAAUUACCCUAAACCCCAAAUAACCCUAAACCCUAAAUAACCAUAAACCCUAAACCUUAAUCCCUAAAAACUAAACCCUAAAAAUCCCUAAACCCUAAACCCUAAUAAACCUUAAACCCUAAAUCCUAAGAAACCUUAAAUCCUAAGAAACCUUAAACCCUAAUAAACCUUAAACCCUAAUAAACCCUAAUCCCUAGAAAACCCAAAACUUUAAACCUUAAACCCCAAACCCUAAACCCUAAAAAACCCUGAACCCAAAACCCUAAACCCUAAAAAUCUCUAAACCCUAAACCCUAAAAACACUAAACCAUAAGUAACCCUAAACCCUAAAUAACCCUAAACCUUAAACGCUAAAACCUAAUAAACACUAAACCCUAAAAACCCCUAAACCUUAAAAACCCUAAAUCCUAAAAAACCGUAAACCCUAAACCCUAAGUAACUCUAAGCCCUAAACCCUAAACCAUAAAAAACCCUAAACCUUAAAGCCUAAAAAUCCAUAAACUCUAAACCCUAAACCCUAAACAACCCUAAACCCUAAUAAACCCUAAACACUAAUAAACCCUAAACCCUAAACCUUAAAACCUAAACCCUAAAUCCUAAAAAACCCUAAAUACUAAAAAACCCUAAACCCUAAAAAACCUUAAACACUAAAAAACCUUAAACCCUAAAUAACCCUAACCCCCAAAUAACCCUAAACCCUAAAUAACCUUAAACCCUAAAAAUCCGUAAACCCUAAACCCUUUUAAACCCUAAACCCUAAUAAACCCUAAACCCUUAUAAACACUAAACCCUAAUAAACCCUAUACCUUAAACCCUUAUAAAUACUAAACCCUAAUAAACCCUAUACCCUAAACCCCAAACCCUAAAAAACCCUAAACCCUAAACCCUAAAUAACCCUAAACCUUAUACUGUAAUAAACCCUAGACCCUAAUAAACCCUAAAUCCGAAAAAACCCGCCACACCCUAAACCCUAAAACAUAAACCCUAAACAUUAAAUCCUAAACCCUAAAUAACCCUAACCCUAAAUUACCCUAAACCCCAAAUAACCCUAAACCCUAAAUAACCCUAAACCCUAAAAAUCCUUAAACCCUAAACCCUUUUAAACCCUAAACCAUUUUAAACCCUAAACCCUAAUAAACCCUAAACCUCAACCCCUAAACCCUAAAAAUCCUUAAACCCUAUACCCUAAAAAACCCUAAACCCUAAACCAUAAACAACCCUAAACCCUAAAAAACUCGAAUCCCUAAAAACCAUAAACCCUAAAAAACCCUAUACCUUAAAUAACCCUAAACCUUAAACCGUAAACCCUAAUAAACCAUAGACCCAAAUAAACCUAAAUCCUAAAAAACCAUACACCCUAAACCCUAAAAAACCCUAAACCCUAAGUAACCUUAAUAAACCCUAAAACAUAAACCCUAAACACUAAACCCUAAAAAACCCUGAACCCUAAANNNNNNNNNNNCCUAAAACCUAAACCCUAAAAAACCCUAAACCCUAAAUCCUAAUAAACACUAAACCCUAAACCCUAAAAAAGCCUAAACCCUAAACCCUGAAAAACGCUAAACCCUAUACCCUAAACCUUAAAAAACCCUAAACCCUAAACCCUAAAUAACCCUAACCCUAACUUACCCUAAACCCUAAAUAACCCUAAACCCUAAACCCUGAAUAACCCUAAACCCCAAACCCUAAAUAUAUAUAUAUAUAUAUAUAUAUAUAUAUAUAUAUAUAUAUAUAUAUAUAUAUAUAUAUAUAUAUAUAUUACCUUCUUUUAUAGAUGUAUCUGGGAAGCAAAGCAAGAACAGAAGAAGAGGUGGAGAAUGAGAAAACAACGAAUGAAGGAGUGGAAAUGGAGCCUGGUCCUCUUCCCAACUAUCUCUGUUCAAUCUGCCAUGCCAACUUUCACAUUCCUUGUGAAGCCAAUUGCUCUCACUGGUUUUGUGGUAUCAAAACCCUGUACUUCGCUUUCUCUUUUCACCCUUCAAUCUUUCAUCCAUCAAUUCGCAACCUUUUCAUUUUACAGCAAAUUGCAUCAUGCUCGUGUGGCAGCAUGCAUCAGGAACAAGCUCUUGCAAAUGCCCUCUCUGUCGCUGACGAUCACUCUCUUAAUCCCCAUCGAACACUCUCUUAGCCAGCGUCAUGAUCUUGAAGUUGCUCAGAUCCUCUCCAAAAUUCAUGCUUAUAGCUAUGGCUUCGGUGGCCAACCCUCCUCUUUUUUUUUAGGUGUCUAUCUUCUUUUUUCUUGCUUUCUUCCCUUUCAUUGUACUUUUUUAUGGAAUUGAUUCCGAAUGGUGGUUGCAGAGAGUACAAGAUCUUCCUUUUCUAUUGCAUAGGUUGCUUCGGGAACUCCUAAAUUCUCAAAGAUCUCUUAUGUGUGUGGCUGGAGUGUACUGCGUGCAACCAAUGAGAGAGAAGAACAAAAGAGAGCAAGAGAGAAAGUGAGAUGCAAGAUUUUUGAAAAUGUGGAAGGAAAAUUAUCUUUAGAAUAACGAAAAGGAUAUGUUAACACCGUUUCUUUGACACGGUUUUGAUAACGCCACAUGGCGUCUGUGCAUUGGCUGAUUUUUUAAUGAAAUGAAACUGGUUUUCUGAGGUAAGUGAGGGGCAUAAUGGGAAAGGCAAGAGAAUGAAUUUUCGAUUUGGCGCCCUGUUUCCUCAUUUCUUUUUCACAGUUUCAGAUUUUCUUCACGGUUUCUCACUUUUUCUCCCUCGUUGCACUGGUUCUCUGUUCAUCACUCUCGUGCUCUCGUUCUCUCAUCAUCACGUUCUCGGUUCUUAGGCUUUCUCGGUGGCUUGGGUAUUGUCUGUGUGUUGGGCAUCCUUCGUGUGCACUGUUGAAGCCCGCCCUCUACCAUUUCUGUUUUCGCCGUUGUUGGUGUGUUCUUAUAUUUGGGGUAAGUGCAACUCGAAACUUACUCUAACCUCAUAUCCAAUAGAAUGGUUUAUUUCUUUAGCGAAACCUAACUAUUUUUGUGGAAAUUGUUAUCACUGCAGGUCCAAUGGCAUCAAUAAAACUAAGUGUAAGAUGAAAUUUUUAAUGUUUUAUUGUUAUGGAUGAUGUAUAAGGUGUGACUGUUAGUAUUUAUUGUAUGUUAUGUUAUUGUUUUGUAGUGGCGACUUCGUAUAUCCAUGGAUUCGGCCAACGAGAAUAUUGCAAGAAUGGAAGCGCUACAUGAAUAUGAGUUUUUGUAGGAUUGUUAAGAUUUGUUAGAUGUUAAUAUGUAUUCCAAAUUACAUUGUACCCUGUACAUAUGAUAUGUAUAUAAGAUGACAUUGUUGAUGAUUUGUUGAUCUCCAUUGAUAUAUAUAUAUAUAUAUAUAUAUAUAUAUAUAUAUAUAUAUAUAUAUAUACGAGAUUACAUUGUUGAUGGUAAGGUGAUUUGCAAUGUCUUUGUAUUUACGUUGUGUAUGUAUUAAUGGGAAAUGAAAGCACGAUAUGAAUAAUUCCUUUAAAUAAAAGAAAAGUAAUGUUUUUAAAGUUGUUGGAUGAAGUCCACAGAGUUGUGCAGCAGAAAACACAGUGGUAAUCGUUUACCAGACUGAAAUCCACGAUUUGGACACAAACCUCAUCAGCAGGAGCCCCAGUUUUAUACACAGAGGACCAUGAUAUGUCCUUGUAAUGUUUUUGCAGAAAUCAACUACUUUUAAUUGAAACUAUUAUGAAACUGUGUUUAUAGUGUGGGAGGUGUUGUUUGGACACCCCAAGAGGGAGGAAAAUGAUCCAUAUGUGUGAGUCCAUCAAGUUGGAUGAAGUCCACAGAGUUGUGCAGCAGAAAACAUAGUGGUAAUCGUUUACCAGAGUUUGGUAAACGAUUACGCGACUCAAAUCCAGGAUUUGGACACAAACCUCAGCAGUAGGAGCCCCAGUUUUAUACACAGAGGACCAUGGUAUGUCCUUAUAAUGUUUCUACUACAUAACUUCUUCCAAGACAUGAAUUGGGGGCUUGCACUCAACAUCAAACCUUCCUUGCGUACCAAAACAUGUACAACUACACUUAGAACACCUCAAAACAACUAAAUGACACCAAAACAGAUCCACCUAUGCUCUAAAUUCAGGAUUAAUGCUAUGGUCCGCUGUGAACAAAAUAAGGGCUCCCUAUGUUGAACUUUGUGUCCAAAUCACUAAACAAGCUUGCGUAAUCGUUUACCAGUCUGUGGUAAACGAUUACCACAGCUUUUUCUGCAUAACUUCUUCCUGGACAUGAUUUGGGGGCUUGCACUCAACAUCAAACCUUCCUUGCGUACCAAAACAUGUACAACUACACUUAGAACACCUCAAAACCACUAAAUGACACCAAAACAGAUCCACCUCUGCUCUAAAUUUAGGAAUUAAUACCAUGGUCCGCUGUGAACAAAAUAAGGGCUCCCUAUGUUGAACUUUGUGUCCAAAUCACUAAACCAGAUCACGUAAUCGUUUACCAGUCUGUGGUAAACGAUUACCAUAACUUUUUCUGCAUAACUUCUUCCUGGACAUGAUUUGGGAGCUUGCACUCAACAUCAUACCUUCCUUGCCUACCCAAACAUGAACAACCACACUUAGAAAACCUCCAAACCACUAAAUGACACCAAAAUAACUCCACCUCUGGUCUACAUUGAAAAAUUAAUACCAUGGUGCGUGUGAACAAAAUAAGGGCUCCCUCUGUUGAACUUUGUGUCCAAAUCACUAAACCAGCUCGCGUAAUCGUUUACCACUCUGUGGUAAAUUAUUACCACAGGUUUUCUGCUGCAUAACUUUUUUCCAGGUCCUGGACUAAGUUUUUUUGUUCAAAAUACACAAUCUUUUGUAUGUAAAACAAUCCUUGUUUCCUUCAUCCUUCAAUACAAAAUUUCAAUGCAAACUUUAUUCAUUAACAAUUCAAACAAAACCAGAUUUCCCAUUUUCAAUAUCAAAUGCAAUUCACUUAGCAAGUAAUAAUAUCAUAAUGAAGGCAAAUUGCAUUUUUAUCACAUUGAACAUUAUAAAAACCAAAUUACAAAACAUAUGUUCAUGUUACAAUAUCUCCGUAUUACAACCUCUUAAGAAAGCUAUACAAAGUUCACUCAUUUUUUAUUCUAAGCAAUCCUACGUAAGGAGUCCUAAGCGCUCUACUCUUAUAAUGCCUUCGUGACCCCAUCCUCACAUAUGUCUUCAUUGGAGGAGGAUCGGUGGACAUGCCUCCUAGGGAGAUGCUUCCAGGGGAGAUGGACGGUUCUUCAUGUGGCACAUUGUGUCCACCAUCCUGUGGUCUUCUUCGUCUAGCUUUCUCAAAUGUCACCUCUUCCUCCAACACAAGACCCUCCUUUUAAGUUCUGCAACAAGACUUUCUUGCUAGUGUAAACUUUGCAUAAAACACUCUUUGUAUUUUCUCUUAAGUAGCUUCUUUGUUGAUGUCUUUUCAUCUUUCAUUUAUUGUCUUGGUUCAUCCUUCAAAUCAUUCUUAUCCUUCAUUGUACCAAGAUCAACACCAACAUCAUCAUUAACCUGAAAUUCAACAAUUCAAAUCAUACUAGGAACAUAUAUAUAAUAAAAUAAAUCACUCUAACAAUAAACCAUACACCAGACUAGUUUCCAAAGCUCCUUUCACGAGGUUGUCUCCCAAAUUUACAUUCUCCCUUUAAAUUAAUCUCUUUCCCAUCUAAACUCAACCCCAAAGCUAAACAAAAUUCUUUCUCAUUCAUGGGCACGACUUUCUCUCCAAUUAAGAAACCAGUACUUGAAUCCACCCAUUUAACACCAACUCACUCAAGAUUUUCCUACCUACUUUAACAUUAUCAGCCAAAUCUAAAAAUCACCGAAAAGAAGUGCCCGCAAUCACUGACCGGUGCUCCUUUCUCAAACGUUUGUUCAAACCGCAUAUGUACUUUGUUGAAACUGAGUGACGAACCGUCAACUGCAUAGUAAAUCCAAAAACCAAAAAUUAAAAACCCUAAAUCAAAAACAACACACAAAACCCACACUCAAAAUACGAAACGUUAAACACCAAAACCCACCAAAGAUGAAUGCGCUUACCCUGCUCGAAGAACUCACCAUUUCGCAAAACGAAGACACGAAGAACAAAAUAAUGCAAUCACAGUGACACCCACAGGUAACGAGAAGGACGAACCAUACUCCGAUGGCGAAAACGAAGGCAAGAGUGAUAUCGGAAGGCUGAAAGCGAACCCAACAAUGGUAUCGGAAUGGAGAAAUUCAAAAAUUUGAUGAAACAGAGAAGAAAGAGAAUGUUAAAUUCAGAUCAAAACAGGAAAUGGCAAAGUUGGAAUCCAAAAAUUCAAAUCUCUGCCUCAUUAUUGAUGUCACAUUUUUUAUUUUUUUUUUUUAAAAAGGGACCAAUCCCGUGCUGACACAUGGUGUUGUUAAAAGAGUGUUAAAAUAAAAGUGUCAAAAUAUCGGGAUCCUUAGAAUAAUAACUGACACCCUAAAAAAUCUGAGCAUUUAAUUUAUUAAAUAUUAAUAUAGUAUAGGUAAUUUUGUCAUUCGAGGUGCAGAUGAAGUGCUUGGACGUGUAGGUGAAACACCCUUUGUUUUUUCGACCCUGACUUAUUCUCAGAUCAAACACUUGCGGGUGCAGAUGGCAGUACAGAGUCGACGGCAGACGAUGGCGUAUGGUGAACUACAGCACAAAGUACAUCACUUGACGACAGCAGUGGUACAGGCGGCGAAGAAGAAUCAACUCCUUUCGAAUACUUUUCGUGUUUUUUCUAAAGAUUGAUGUGACCCAGUUCAUCAAUUAUUCAUAAGUUACCAAAUCACUUCUCGAGACCCUUGUAGAAAUACUAUCCAAUGUAUUCUUAGACAAAGGUCAAGGAUUUAUUUGUUUUUUGUUGAAGGAAAGUAUGUAAAAAUUUGUCUCUAUGCGUAACUUUGGUGCAUGGAUAUUAGGAAACCAAGUGUGAAGAGGGUGUACGAGGAUCCACAUGGUUGCAAUGAGAUCCAUGGCAACAUUUUCUUACCAAAUCAGUAAGUUAGGUGUUGCAUAAGCCGUUAUUCUUUUCGCCUCUUUUGAUCUAAAAGGAUUGAACUUUACUGUGGAAAAGAGCUAACAAAUGGACCCAUCAUUAUCUCAGUUGCCCCCUUAGGAUUUUGGUGAAAAAAAAUUUCUUCUCAGUUCCCUUCUUUGACAGGCAGAAACGCAAUGUGGCGGAUCAUGAAAUGUACAUAUAUAAUCUCUUAAAUGUUCUUAUUAAUCCUUGUCAGUAAAAUGUGUUUGAUGAUAUGUUAUAAUUGUGAAGUGAUCUUUUGAUAUCUUAGGACGGUAAUCUCUUAGAUGAUAUCCAAAUAUCAUUUUCAGAUGGCAGAAAACCAGAUUGUGUAAUGAUAUUUUCAUAACUUUAUCAGGGGGUGAGUAGUUGUUAACCUUGAAAUUGGCUAGAGAAUAUAGGUUAAAAUGAAAAGUUGAUGUGUCAUUUUCAUUAGGGAAGAAGAGUUAUACGACACUGCAUUAUAACCAUUUGAGUGAACACUGCAUUAUAACUUAUAAUUUGUAAGAUUGACCGGUCUCUUUAUUCCUUGAUAUGCAUCAUAAUGGAUAUAGUAUUUUCUUUUUUAAGAAGAUAACUUUCACAAGAAAACAAAUUUAAGCUUCAAGAAGAAGUAUUCUCUUUAUUCAAUGUAACUUUUAUCAUUUCUCAAUUUCAGAUUCACAAAAUUUAGUAAUUUUUUCCUUCAUGUUAUUAUGUUGUUAAUUUGCUGUUGUUCUCCUUUGGUUGGUUUCGUUUUUUAAAUACUAUAUUUGUUGAUUACCUAUAAGUUUUAAACGCGGACAACCAAUACACUGCAUGUUCUGUUAACAAGUCUUGCACUUUUGAUUGAUACUCCACGGGAUAAAAACAUAACGGGUAAAUGUUACUAAUGAUCCAUUUUGUUUUUUCUGCCCGUUUGUUUUGUUUUUUGUUUUUUGUUUUUUGUUUUAUUGAACUCCUACAGCCUCCAUUCUGUAUAUUGAAUGGGUGGGAUUUUUUUUUUUCUGAUAAGAUAACAUUUUUUUUUUUUCGUUUGAAUUUUCAUAUUAAGUAUUAUGCUUUAUGUUGUUGUCUUUUCAUAUAUGGAUAAAUAAUUUUAAUAUGUUGUUGUCUUUUUAUAUUAUGCUCUAUGUUGUUAGCUAUAAUGAUAUUAAUAGUAAUUUUGUGACCUUUAAACUUAUUUGGUUGAUAUUUAAUAACAGGAUUUGGAUCUAUUUUGGGUAUCUUUUGUCUUCCCCUUUUUCUGCCUUCAAUUUGCCUCUUAAAUAUGAACCACUUUAAGAUAAAUCCUUUAACUUUGGUUGAUGAUCUUGCAUAUGAAACUGAUGAUCAUUCUGAAAGUGCUACCACAAAUGUUACCCCUGAAAUUUUGUUGCUGCAAUGAUUUAUCUAUGUUGAAGUCAGUUAUUUAUCUCUGUUUGAAGUCAACAAUCUCUCUGUUGUUUGGUGUGGGGGAGGAAAUUAAAUGGUCAAGAUAUCCCAGUAGUUGGUAUGGGAUUCAACUUCUAUGGUUUAUGUAAUUACUUAUUAUAUUUUAUGACACCCCAUCCUCUGAAAAACACCAGAGAAGUACAAAAUGCAAAAAUAAUACAAUAGAAAUAUGAUACAGGGGAAGAUACCAAAUAAAUGUUGAAGAUAUCCCAGCAUUCGGUGUAGGAUUCAACUUAUAUUGUUGAUGUAAAUACAUAUAUUUUAUGACACCCCAAUCCUCUAAAAAACUUUAAAUAAAGUAGAUAAUGAAAACGAAUAAAAUAUAAAUUUGGUGCAGGGGAAGAGAUUAAAGGCUCUAAGAUAUCCCAGCAUUUGGUGUGUGAUUCAGAUUCUAUGGCCAAUGCAAAUAUUUAUAUUUUAUGAUGCCCUCAUAAAAAGGCUCUAAGAAUCACAGUUAUAGUUAUAAUAUAAAUACACAAAUGAUAUCAAAUAAGUUAACUAAUAUAAAAAUAUUAUAAAAUAUAUAUCAAAUCAAUAUAGUAGAUUCAAAAAUAUAAUAAGAUAUAAAAAAUAUCAUAAGAUAUAUUUCAAUGUUAUUUAUUAAAGAAAUAAAAAUAAUAUAUCUCAAUAUAAUCGGUGAAGAUAACAAGGGGAGAAAAAAAUAUUAAAAUCCAAUCAAUUAAAAGAAAGAUAUUGAUAUAGAUAUACAAAUAGAAAUCAAUCAUAAUAUAGGGUAUAAAUUAAAGUCAGGCGAAUUGUUUGUGAUCACUGUGAUACUUCUUGGUGUGAUAUUGUUUGCUCUCUCUUUGCAUCAAUUUAUUCUUAUUUUCGGAAAGCUUUUUAGAAUGACAGUUCAAGGAAAAUUUACGAGAGGAGUUUCUUGCACUUAUAUUGCAACUGCAUUAUAUGGAUUAGUGUUUGGUUAUCAUCUGGGUAUAUCAGGUAUGCACUUAUCUUAUUCAUUAAUGAUUUUUUUUUAUUCAUGAAUGAUUAUUUUAUUCAUUACUGACGUCAACAUGUGCAGGUGGCAUGAGUUCUAUGGAUUUUUUUCUAAAGAAAUUCUUGUAUGAAGUGUAUGAACAAGAGAAGAACAUAAAAUCCUCGUAUUGCAAAUUUGACAGCCAAAUAUUGACAUUAUACACGUCAUCUCUAUAUUUGGCUGCUUUGAUUGCAUCAGUAUUUGCAUCCUUUCUGAAUCGGCUUUUUGGGAGACGCGGUACCAUUGUAAUAGGGAUUGCAUUUAUUUUCGUAAGUGCAUUUUUUCGUGUAUACUUAUUGGGUUCCAGUGCAAAACAUGUUUGGGUGCUAAUUCUCAGCCGCAUCUUAUUUGGUUUAGGAAUUGGAUGUACUCAUCAGGUAAUACCAUCUAUAUUUUUUUAUAUAAACUUUUAUUGUUUAAGAUUUUUUUCUUAUCAUUAAAUAUUGUUUAAUAAUGUUUUAGAAUUAAAAUAAUUUAAAAUAAAUAUUGACAUUAUAUUUUUAAAAUUAAAAAACUUAAUAGAAAAAAUAAGUGUUGAGGUGAUCUUUUUAUAAUUUACGUUACGUACCCUUUAUAAAAAACCUUUUAAUUGUGACUAUAUUACAUAUUAUUGUAUAAUCAAUGAAAACAAUACAUAUCUUUACAUAUUUUUUAAAUUGACAAACUUAUAGAAGGUAAAUUAUGUGUUAAAAAGUGAUUUUUAUUUAGUUAGCUUCCAUACAUAGUAUGAAAAAAAGAAAUAUUUUAAUUUUCAUUAUAUUAAAUAUUACUUAUGUUAUGUAUUAUGUUACAAAGUGUUUUUUUCUUUUUUUUAUAGUCUCUAUCAAUGUAUAUAUCUGAGGUUGCUCCAGGUCAACAUAGAAGAGUUCUUGAUAUGAUGUUACAAUUGGCAAUUGCUACUGGGAUCUUUGUUGCCAAUGUCUUCAACUACAUUUCUGCGAAGAUGGAGAAUGGAGAAGGAUUGUGUAAUAGCGUACGCUUUGAAAUUUGUUCUAUCUUUUGUUAUUCACUGUUCGCAUUUAUGCUUCAUGAAUCACCAUAUUCUUGGAUUGAACGUGGUUUUCAUGAGAUAGCUAAGAAGGAACUUAUUGGGAUUCGAGAAACUACAGAUGUGGAGGAGGAGUUCAAGGAUCUUAUGGCAGCAAAUGAAUGCUCUAAAGCUAUGAAAGAUCCUUGGAUUUCUUUAUUAAAGAGACAAUAUAGACCCCAACUCACAUUUUCCAUAAUCAUUCCCUUGUUUCAGCAACUCACCGGCAUAAAUGUGAUUAUAUUUUAUGCUCCUAUUUUAUUGAAGUCCAUUGGUUUUGGAGCCAAUGCUUCAUUCCUGUAUGCCAUGAUCAUUGGAGGCUGCAACGCAAUUGCCACUCUUGUCUCCAUAUUCAUCGUUAACAAGUUCAGUAGACGAACUCUUUUCUUAAAAGGAGGAAUACAAAUGUUUAUUUGUCAGGUAACCUAUUUUCUUAACACUCUUUUAGUGUUAUUUUACUUGUAUAAUGUAAUUGAUUAAUUUAAUUGUUGUUUUGAUUUGGCUUGCGUAGAUCGUGAUAACCGUAGCAAUUGCAUGUAAAUUUGGACUUGAUGGAAACAUAGGAAUGUUGCCAAAGUGGUAUACUAUUGUGGUUGUGUGUGGCAUAUGUGUGUACGUGGCAGGAUUUGCUUGGUCUUGGGGUCCUCUAGGAUGGUUGGUUCCAAGUGAGAUUUUUUCACUUGAAGUGCGUUCAGCUGCACAAAGUAUCAAUGUCUCUCUGAACAUGAUGUUCACCUUUGUCAUUGCACAAAUUUUCACCACCAUGCUUUGUCACAUGAAGUUUGGAUUGUUUAUUUUCUUUGCAUGCAUGCUCAUUAUGAUGAACAUAUUUAUUUACAAGCUUCUACUAGAGACCAAGGGCGUUUCUAUUGAAGAAAUGCAUGUUAUGUGGCAGAAUCAUCCUUAUUGGAAGAAGUUUGUUAAACCAAUUGAUGUCACUGUUAGUGAUGAGUGUUAAGAGACUAUUCUUAUACUUCUUUUGUUGUAUAAACUAUUUUUAGUAGUUUAGUAGGAAAUAUGUAUUUUUUUUAGUUCAGAAUUUUCAACUGUGGAACCUUAGUUGUUCAUUUGUAUUGUUAGCUUUUAUAUACUAGGUUUUUUUUAAUUAUUGUUUUAAUUUUUUGAAAAAUAGAAACAUAUUAAGAUAAAAAUAUAUUUAUAUAUAGAAAGAGAGAAGCAUGCCCUUAUCAUACUUAAUACUAUAAAAUUCUUGAGUUAAACUAAUUUUAUAAUUAAUUUUAUUGAAUAUUACAAAAUCAGAGUUAAGCUAACACACAAGUUACAUAAUGAAAACAUAAUCGCAAUUGAAAAGAAGGAAAGUUUGAGUCUAAAAGAAUACCAAAAGAGUGAAAUAGAUUGAAAAUUUUGUUCUUGAAAUUGACACCGUCGUGCAUCUUAGUGAAGCAAAUGAAAGAAAAGGUAAAGGGCUAGAAUUAUUUCUAAAAUUUUAAAAGGUAAAUUUUAAGAGUUACUUUACAAUUUAAUAUCAAUUGGCCCCAGAAUGAAGGUUAAAUUAUGAAUUAACGAACGUUAUUAAUUUUAACCGUAAAAAAUUUAUGAGUAUGAGCUCCAAUGAAGAGCCUAUAACCACCAGUGUGAUUGUUUUUGGAGAUUAUAAGGAUUAUCUUGAAUAGACAAAUAUCAUUAUUGUUAUAUGAGUAGGAAUAUAAUCCUAAACACGUAGACAAAUGAUAUGUUAGGUAUAAACUUAUAAAUAAUAUAUAUUUUUUUUAAAAUAUAAAUAAUUAUACUUACUUUAAAUAUAAAGUUGGAUGUUGAAUUUGUGGAUUUUGAUGACUUAAUAUAUUAAUUAGUGGAUUAUCUCGCUCACUUAAAAAUUCAAAAAAAAAAAAUUCUAUUAAACUUGGUCUUUUUCAUUUUCCAAUUUAUCAUUUGGAAACACGGACAGAUUGAUUUAUUCGCGAGAUUUUUUUAUAAACUAAAUACUGAUCGAUAAAGUAAUUUAUUUUAUCUACUAGAUUAACCAACUAUUUAAAAUGUUUAUAUGUGGAUUUAAAUAUAUUAGAAUGAUUUAUUUACUUACCUAAUUAUCACGGUGAUCUUUUAUACAGUGAAAAUCUUAACUAUUUCAUGGUUUCAAAAUGUUGACAAAUUUUACUGUUACAACAUAUAACAAAAAUAAGUUUAUAUAUUUUUAUAUGAAUUAUAUUUUUAUUUUUAUAAAUAAAAUUACGUUUUUAAGUGAAUACAAUUUAUUUAUUUUAACUUAAUUUUAAAAUAUUUAUUAUUUUGGUUGUGAUUAUGUGAAAACUUAAAUCAACUUCUCAAAAUUAAUUUAUAAGUUAAAUUUUACGUUUACUUGUAUAUUAUUAAAUUCAUCUUAUAUUUAAUCAAAUGUAAAAUAUUUAAUAAAUAAUUAAAAUAAUUUUACCAAAAUUUAAAAUAAAUACUAUCAUAAUUUUAAUUUAAAUUAAAUAAUUUUAUUUUAUAUUUAAAUAAAAUUUUGUAUAUGUAACUAGAAAUAAAUUUUCAACUAUAAAUUUUGUAAAGCGACAUAAUUUAAUUGAAAUACGUUUAUAAAUUUGAUGUUACAUUAUUUAAAUUAUCUCUCUAUUCUUUUAUCAUUAAUGAAUAAAUUUAAAUGUGUAAGUAAAAGAAAAUCCUCAAAUAGUUUUAAUAAAAUCUUCAAAUAGAUAAGUUAAAUAAUAAUUAUAUUAAAAAUAAUUAGAUAAUUGUCUAAAACUAGUUUUAGACGUUAAUUUUGUAGGAAAAAAAAAACAAAUACAUUUGUAACAUUCCAUUUUCAAUAAUUCUAGCACUAUCAUGGAAAUAUCACAUUUUCAAUAACACAAAACAAUUAGCUAAAAAAAAUAAACAUAUAAAUAAAGUAACUAUAACACUAAACUUUAUAUACAUAAGAAAACUUAAAAGAGUCAAAUUUAUAAGAUUUAAGGUAUUGCAAAAGAAACCACUAACUAUAGUCAUCUAAUUAAGCAUUAGCAUCAUCUCCACCUAUGACUUGCUUCAUGGAAACAUCAUCAUCUAUUUUCAACGUGGAGGUGACCAGUCAAAAGUAAACACACUACAAACAAAAGGAUAAGCUAAAAUGUCAAUGAAAUAAUUAUCCAAAACAACUUUAAAACUAUCACGAUGCUAAUGUAGGGAUAACAUACAAUGUCAUGAAUUACACAAAAACAUAUAUCUAGACUCGACCAUCCAAUAAAGUGUUACAGUCAGACUCUCACAGAUUAUGCACUUAUAAUGGUCUCUACUACUCUGCAGAGUCAUUGUCAAUGAGUUUCACCCUACCACAAUCACAAGGUUAGUCCGUUAAUGCCUUAGCCCCUAGACUAGGACCUCCUACUACUCUUGCCUCAUACCCCACCCUUUUAUAAUUGAUAUUUGAUAGUUAUUAGAGUGUCAGGAUAACCUCUAAUUGAAUGCUUACAUCAAUACACACACUACAGAAACUGCCACAUCGAAUAUCCCCGAGAGUUCCAUGGAAUUAUGCCAACAAUAUACAUAAGCCAUAACUUAUUUAUCGCCACAUAUCCUCAUCAUUAUCAACUUAUACUUAAAGCAUAUCAUGUAUACAUUUAUAUGUUUGGGCCUAAUCAUACUUGCAAAAAUAAACAACUCCAUAUGCUGCUUAUUUCAAAAGACAAAAUUCAGGAUUUAGGGGAAUAUUCUCCCUGCAUUCAUAAAGAAUUUUCAGACUCUCACCUUGAGGAUAAGGUGCACCUUUAUGGAAGGGGUGUUGAUAAGUUUGAUACAAAUUACAAAAUAAGGAAAAAAGAAGGUAGUUCGUACAGUUGAAAACACCUUCCACCCAUUGAAAACAACUAGGAAGAUGUUACUGCCAUCCACAAGGAGUUUCAUGCUUUUCACCUUGAGAACAAGGUGAAACUUCAUGGAGGGAGUUAUUGAUAGGUUCAAAGAAAAUGUUUAUAUUAGGAGAAAUAAAAGGGACAAACAAUUAUAAUUGUCUGUGGGUAGGUUUUGUUAUCUCAUACUUUUAUAAAGUCUGUGUAGGUGUUAGGGUAUAAGGUGGGAGAAUAUUCAGUAUAAGUUAAUCAAAGUAAAUAAAUAUAAUAUAAGUUAAUUAGAGUAAAUAAAUAUAUAUUCCAAGGGAAAUAUUCAUUAUAAGAUAUUUAUAAUUAGGGAUAUAUGCUAAGAUAAUAUAACGAGAGAUAUUUAUAUCAAAUAUAGGGAUAUUUACAUUAAAUGCAAAUAUAUUCUAGGGAAAUAUUUUAUUUAGAGUAAUAUUUUAGAGAAAGAUUUAGUACAAUAUGAACGGGAAAUAAUUAGUAUAAAUAAAGGAAGAGUCUAGGGUUAGAGUUAUGCUUUUGAUUUAUGAGUUUUGUAAAGGAGGUUAUGCUCCAGGAUAAUUGACGGAGGUUAUGCUUCCAAUUAUUGGAUGAUUGAAGGAGGUUAUGCUCCCAAUUAUUGGAUGACUGAAGGAGGUUAUGCUCCCAGUUAUUGUUUACUUGUGUUUACCCAUAUAUUACCAUCAAUAAAAGAUAUCAAUUCGUUCUAUUCCAUUCUUUCAUUAUUCUUUUGCUUGUUUUGAGUGUGUGAGAGGGUGAUUUCGUUACGUCUCCUACUCUGAUACCUAACAGUAAGCAAUUGUUUUAGUACUUUUUCAUUGUUUUUUGUAAAUUCUAAAAAGAAUAAGAGUGGAGAGUCUAAUUCUCUCGAAUAAGUAGAAGUUGUAUGUGUUUGGUUUCUCCACAUUGGAGGAAACAUAAUGUGUUGUUGGAAUAAAGAUCUGCAGUUUCUAAAACUUAUUUCGUUAAGUUUUAUGCUCUUCGCCAUGUCUUACUCUUAAGUUAUAUCAUAUUAUUAUAUAAUAUGUUUAAGGUAGAACUAUACGGUGGCACUUUUGUAUAUAUAUAAGGUUUAAAUCUUUUAGUUGUCCCUAUUUUCGUUGGGUUUUCCCAUUUUGAUCCCCUUCUUUUAAAGUUUCCCAAUUGAGUCCUUAUAACAGCUAAUUUGAAGCAAUUGAGCCCUUGCCGUUAAAUUUUGUUAACGGAGUUAAUUUUCUGCACAGGUGGUGGGAUGACGUGUCUAGUUACUUAAACGUGGUAUAUUUAGAAGUGAAACGUGGCCCCUGGCCACCAUCAACGCCUCUCAGGCCACCGUAGAACCGUCGUUCCUCACGCAGCAUAGCAACACCAUCGUGAACCAUCUUCGCGAAGGCCAACCCAAAUCAUCACUGCGAGUUCAUCUUCUUCCUCAGGCCUCCAAUAUCCUCCGCGUCUUCACCAUCUUCUUCUCCUUCACCACAGAACCACUACACCUUCAUUGGAGAACCAUCAACCUCCUAGUUCACACUUAACACCCAAAUUGUGAAACCUUAUUAUGAAGAACCCUAAAACCCUAAUCGCAAAUUUCAUUCUCAAUCGCAAGCUUCAUCUUUUUCCCUAUGCAUCAAGCCUACAAAAGGAAACCUAGAAAUCACAGCACCAGGGUCGUUUUCUCCUCCACCAAGAAUCCAAUUCCAAAUCGCAACGGUGAAGAACCUGCAUCAGAAAACCUAGAAACCCCUCCAUUGCGAAAGCACCAAAUCGCGAUUGCACCAUCACCUCCAUCUUGAACCAAAACCUUCAAGGAAAGCCAAACACAGAACCAACCAAGACCCCUUUGAAUCGUCUCACUUGUCGACAAGGGAUUUGUAGAGGGAGUCAUUGAUGGCGGCCAUGGUAGAAGAUGAUAGAGAGAAGUUGAAUGUGAAAGUGGAUGGAAUUGGAAGCACAUCGAGCCAAUCCAGAGGUUUGUUGCUCCUUCUUAGUCGCAGACCAGUGAUAUGGAGUUGUAGGGAAGUUUUAAUGGUUGGCGAGAGGCGAGAAUCCACAGCGACAACAGUAGCAGCCUUCUUCUUCGCUGGAUCUGUUUUUUUGCAAGUGAUUUUUGGUUUGCAUUGGUUUUUCGAGUUCAAUCCCAAAAGCCUCAAUUGGCUUGGUUUCCUCUUCAUUUUUGUGUUUGGGAAAUCCUAAGUUGUUGAAUUCGGCAGGUGGAAGAGUAAGUGUAGUGAGCGUUAAUGGUGGGAGAAGAAGAAGGCUAGUUUCAUGGUGUGGUGGUUUUACAAUGGUUUAUGUCGUCGUUGAUGGCUAGUGGAAGGGAGAAAGAAGGUGUUUUGGUUUUUGAUUCUGUGAAGUUUUGGGGUGGUGCGGUGCAAGAAAUUGGGUGGUGACGACGAGAUUGAAGGCUUCGCUCACGACGGCUAGGGUUUCAGGAAAUUAGGUUUGUGUUGUUGGAAAAGAUGAUGGAAGUCAAGGAGCGAACAGGUCGAACGGUGGACAAAGGGGAGCGAUCAGGCCAAACGGUGGGAAGCAGCGAAGGACCUGAGCCGAACGGUUGAAGAGCCACCAUCCUAACCGUCACAAUGGUUAGGAUGAACGGGAACUAAUUACAAUAAAGGGAGCUAUGUUUUAGGAGAAUAUUCAGUAUAAGAUAAUUAGAGUAAAUAAAUAUAUAUUCCAGGGAAAUAUACAAUAUAAGAUAUUAAUGAUAUAGGCUAGAGAAAUAUACGGGGGAAUAUUUACAUUAAAUAUGGGAACUUUUAUAUUAAAUAUAGAUAUAUUCUAGAGAGAUAUUUAGUGUGAGAUGGGCGGGAAAUAAUUAGUAUAUAUAAAGUUAGAUUUUAGGGUUAAGGGUAUUUUUGAUUAUUGAGUUGUGUUGACAGGCGGUCACCGUCAUGGGAGGGAGGUUAUGCUCCCAAAUAAUUGAAGGAGGUUAUGCUCCCAAUUAUUGUUUACUUUUGUUUAUCCACAUAUUACCAUCAAUAAAAGAGAUUCAUUUGUUCAACUCCAUUCUUUUAUUAUUUUGUUUCUUGAUUUGAGUGUGUGAGAGGUUGUUCUCGUUACGUCUCCUACUCGAAUACAUAACAUCCUCUAAGACAAAUGAAUGCUUGGUCUUUGGGGUAUGGAAUCGAGAAUCACUGUAAAACAUUCCUUCACACUUUUCUCCUGAUCGACUUAUGUUAUUUUGAGUAUGUUUAGUCCAAUUCCUUUAUGUUCUCAAUGUCAGCACUCCAAACAGUAUGACCAGGUACAUGUCAAAGACAUUCCGAUGCUUAAGUCAGUAAAUUAACUUAUGGGACAAUAAGAUCUUAAAUUCGCAAUAAAUGUAAUCACCUAUCUCUUUACCUGAGAUUUAUAUUUAUAGAUUUUGAGAUGAACUUAUGAUUAGCAGAGCCGUAAUCACAAUCCAAUACCUAAUAAGUAAAGCUUAGUAAAAAACUUGAUUAAAGAUUGUGUUUAAGCUUAUAUAAGAUUUGGGACAGCCCAUCCGCCUUACUCUGACCUGCCAGUCAAAACUUUAAAGCCGAAACCAUACAUAUUUUUUAGUUUUCCUACCUUUACUCUAAGAUUUUCAAUAGCCUGAAAGAUGGACACCAUAACAAGUUUGUUAAUCUGAUAAGACAAAUAACAAGCAUCAUUGCAAUUGGAAACCCACCUUUGCCUUUGUUGAUACGAAAGAGUGCAUACUUGUUCCAUUACCUUCAGUUGCUGCUCUUGUUGCAUUAGAGAUGCUGCAACAGCCUUGUGCAGAUCUUCUAGCUGUUGAGCUAACUGAAACUGGAAUUUCUGGAUAAGUAAUUUGUUUCCUUCUUCAAUUUUAUCCUUCCGUUCUAAAGUUUAUAAACAAUCAUUUAUGUGAUGUCAAGUUAUUCCCUCUACUUGGGGCCCAAUAAAAUUACCAGUUGAAAAAUGGUUCUAACCAAUUGUAGAAAACAGGUUCGACACAUCGGAUGCAGCAUUCUUAAGUUCAGCUCGUAGCUCAAAUGCAUAUGCUCGACGAGUGUUUUUUCUGGAAGAUGAAGAGAACGGAGAAAAAUCACACAUUGAAAUGAAGAGAAAAUGAUAAAAAGUAUGUUAGAGGGUAUGUUCAAACAGCUGGUUAGUUUCUAAAAUGAGAAAUCAAAUGCACCUAUAGAUGUAAAAUUAAAAUAGAUAUACUUUUUUCUAGAAAAAAAUAAUUAAAACGAAUAGUAGUAUUCAAAUAGAACAAUUUUAGUGGACAAUAAGAUACAACAGUUAAGUGAUAAUUUAAUCUAUAAAAUUUCAUAAAUAGAAAAGAAUACCAUUGUAAACAAGAAAGCGAGUAAGAUUCACCACUCAUAGCACCAUAAGAUUAUCUAAUUCGAUUCAUUUAUGGUGAUUUUCCAAGUUAUGAAUUUAACAACUUAAAAUUCAACUUUGUCAAGAAUAUCCGUUCCUUUAUGAUGAUUUUAUCAUUAUGAAGAAUAUGGCUAUAGGCUAAUAAACUCAUAUAUAAUGUGAGCUGCUUAAAACUCAACAAGUUCACUCGAUCUAGGAUUAAUCUGUUUCAAAUACUUAUAUACAUAUGUGACCUCAUUAAGAAAGUAUGAGGCAUCCAAACAGUAGUUAAACAAAGGAUAAAGUUUUAUUUUAGAUAUUUCAACAAAAUCACAUAUUCUUUUUAUUAUGACGAUUGCAAAGAGCUGUCAAGGGCCUGCAACUGACUCCGAAGACUCUGAUUGUCUUCCAACAGGCGAUCAUACUCCAUAAGGAAACCCUCCGACUGCUUUUUAUGAGCUUCUACUUCAGUUUCCAAAGACUUAGCCUCAUGUCCUUUGGCCUCACAUUCAGAUUCCAGUGUCUUAAUUUUGGACUUCAACGUGGCAAUUUCUUCUGUCAAUGCUUUCAGUUCCUCUGUAUUACCGUUUUUGCCAUCUUCAAAACUUCGGCUUUGUUUCUUAAUAGCUUCCAUGGCCUUCCUGAGUAAACGAAGCUCUCUUAUGUAGUGAUGCAAUCUAUCAAUCAUCAAAGAGAGGAACAGCAAAAACCCUGCACAUUUUAUAAGCAAAACUAUGAAUAGAAAAGACUAUAGUAAAAAAAGAAAUAUCCAACUCAUGACCCUCAUGACAUACAGAAAGCACUUAAAACAAAACACACGAGAGGAAAUCUAAAUAUGUUGAAUCUUGAAAUAGUAGUUCAUCGAAAAGCCAAAAAUGAAGACUAUAAACCCAAAAUUUGAAACUGCCAUAUAAGAUCUAAUAUAUUGAACUCACUGAAAGUGUAGUGAAUGCAAUAAAACAAUACACCACUACAAUUUAACAGUUUUAAAGCAAAAUAAAGACGACAAUUAACAAGGAUAUAUACCCAUUUGUAACUGCCAUUUAUUUAAUUUUAUCUCUACUAUAGUGUGAUGUUAUUUAUGCCUUAAAGUCUUUAAUUUUAUCCCCACUAAGUUAAAUUUUAUAAUAUUAUUCUUUCUCACUGUUCAAAAGAAUUUUGUCCAUCAAGUACUUAUUACAAGGUUGUACUUAUUUGUCAGAAACCCUUAUUUAUACUGCAGUUAAUAUUUCCUUGUACAGUUUUAAUUACAUAGUUAGAUGAUUUAAUUACCUUUCAUGACUAGGAGGACUGAUAGGCUAACAUUAUAUUUAAUAGUUAUGGUAUAAGAUCACUAUCCUGAGUUGUAAGGAUAGAUUAUAUCCAUCAUAUAGGAUUUUCAGUUAUUAUAUCUAUGUAUUGUAUUUAAUAGCAAUUGCUCCUUUAUGAAUAAUAUCAGAAACAAUUUGUUUGACAAGGUAUCAACUCUCUAAAAUCCUUGGGAGCCUGUUUAAUCUCUUGCGCCAGCCUGCAUUGUCAUAGUUCAAACCUCAAAAGUGUCUGAUACUCAUAAAACUUGAUUCACCAAAAAGUUCAGCACAGAGGAGAUUCUAAAAUUAUGUGGCUGCUGGACACUUUAACAAAAACCUAAAAACUCGGGUAAUUGCUCCUUAACAUCCGCAAGUAAUAUUCAUUACUCUUGUUCACUCCAUACCUUAAAUUCUUCUAAAGAAGGUGUUUGGAUAGUUGAUUCAAGAGCCAUCGACUACAAGACUCGAUUAUCUAUUGGGUUUAUAUCUUAUAGACCUUGUCCAAGCAACAAAAAAUUGCACGUGCAGAUUGAAACAUUCAUUAGAGUUGCUGAAAAAGCAGAUAUUAUGAUAAACCAGAACUUAAUUCUGAAGGAUGUUAUGUAUAUCUAUGAAUUCGAUUUCCGUUCACAAGCUUACAACGGAUUUAUACUGUUUGGUGUUUUUUAAUCCUACAAACUGUCAAUUUUAGGAUCAAGGAACAACUGAGGUUAUUGGACUUGCUAAGGAAGACAUCGGGCUCUACCAUCUAGAGGACACCAAUAGGAUCUGUAGCACUAAGAGUCAAAUUCCUUUGUUAUGUCAUAGACAACUCUUUCCAAUAUAGAAAAAAUUUCAUUAUAGCACCUUAGUUUAGGCCAUCCAUCAUUCAACACACUAGAAAUUAUGUUUCCUAACUUAUUUCAAAAGUUGACAAACAAAUGUUUCUGUUAGAUAUAUUAGACCUUAGAUAGAUAUCUUAUGUUUUUCUGCAUGACAAUCUCAAGAAAGAAAUUUACAUGCAGGUCCCACCAAGGUUUAAAGCCGAGACGGGAAAUGUGUGUAAACUAAGGAAGACACUAUGGAUUGAAACAGUCUCCUAGUGCAUGGUUUGGCAUGUUUACUACUGAUGAAGACCAUGGGGUACAAGCAAAGCCAAGGUGACCAUACAUUGUAUAUUAAGCAUUCAGCUUCAGGGAUUGUUGCUGCACUAAUUGCCUAAAUAGAUGAUAUAGUUAGGAAAUGAUCAGGUAGGACUGAAAGCCUUACAAAAAUGUUUGAUAACCGAUUUUAAAUUAAGCAGUUAGGCAGAUUGAAAUAUUUCUUGGUCACUCAAGUGACUCAUUCCUAUCAUGGUAAUUUUAUCUCACAACAAAAAUAUGUACCAACAAGAGCAUAACCCAAACGUAGAAUAGAUGAAAAUGUUGUAGUACAAGGACAUAUAAGAAAAUAAGAAAUUACGGUUGGAUGUAUUGGAAAGAAUGUAGAAGCAAACACGGAAGAAAGGCUAGAGUCUCAGAUGAGAUGGUUUGGGCACGAUGAGAAGACCAUCCGAAGCCUUGAUAAUAGUUGGUCAUAUUGAAGAAUGCAAAAUAAAUAGUGAUACACCAUACCAUCACUUCAUUUUUAAGAUAUGUAGUUUGAAAGCACUAUCAUAAGAUGAAACAAAUAAAUAACUGAAUUGGGCAACUAAACCACAUCACUUGCUUGUUUCUUCUUCUCUCGUUUUGUCAUGUUUUCAUCAUAAGAGUAAUUUUCCAUUCCUUGUUAUGAUUAUCCAUACCAAAUAUUUUCUUAACAUUUCACAAUUCAAAUUCAAAUUCAAAUAGACAACCUGCCUAAUACUGAAUCAUUCUACGCUAUUUACUACUUGAAACUAAAACCAGAGAAUAUAUUUCUAGAGGGCUUUAUGCACCUCUACAAUUCAAGUUACAUUCAUAGGAGAAAAAGAUGUUGACUACACUUCCAACCAGGUAAGAUUAGUUGGAACACAUUCACAUACAACUCAUAAUUCUAACAUUACUAAAUAUGAUACGAAGUGAAACCCACGUGCACCAUUUGUCACGUAAAUCAGACCUGUGUAAAACAGCAAGUAGGACUGAAGAACCAACCAAUAUAUAAACGGAAAUCCAUAUUAUACAUUGGGACAAAGUCGAGUACUUUCUAAAUAUAAGAACUAAAACAUAAAGAUUGUUCAGCUAUAAAGAUAUCGAGACCAAAUGAGUAAGUAAUUAAACCUUAAAAGACAACACAACGGAAUUUCCUAAAAAUUCAUCAAUCACUGUAACCUCAUAUAUGGAUAAGAGCACAAAAACCCACAAUCACUUCAUCACAAAUCAAUUCAAAGUUAAAUAAUUAGUCGUCCAUAGUACUCCUUAGUUCCACGGACAAAAAUAAAUAAAUAAAUAAAUAGCUCAAACAAUUUAAUCUAAUCUCACAAACCCUAGAAAAAAGGGGUUUGAGUUGAGAAACGAAAGGUUUGUGAGACAUACCCAUGAGAGAGGCUUCGAGCAUGUGUUUGGACAUAAGAACUUGGUCGGUGGGGUUGAGUAUACCGGCCUCGAGGAUGCGUUGCUGGAUCUUGGCCAUGCUGUAGAGGCUGGAAGAGAGAACCACCACCAAUGUGGCGCCCACGGUGGAUACAACAAUGGGGCCACGGCCGCGUUUGACCCGAUCAAGGGAAAUUAUGACCAGUUUUCUGAGAGGGGUCUUGAAAACGAGGGUGAGAAUCAGAAGCAUUUCGCUGAAAAUCGCAGUGUAGAGUAACUGCAACAUCUUCUCCAAAUCACUUUGGAUCACUUGCAGAAGAGACUAGAAUUAGAAAUAGAAGAAAGCAGAAAGAUAUUGAAAGAGACGAAGAGGAGAAAAAGGGAUGGAUUCAACAAGGGAAUGUGUUGGUCCAAUGAUGUGUUUGGAAUUUUCUGUAUUCAAAACUUCAUUUUUCAUUUCAAACUCUAUAAGAGGAAAUUAAUUAAUUAUUUAAUGUAGAAUUUGGUUUAAAUUAGUUUUUCACAUAGUUAAUUGUUUUUUUAUACUGAAGGUAUAGAAAAUUUAAUAUACAUGUGUUAUGUUUGAAAAAUCUAUACUUAUUUAGAAAUUUAGCUGCCAUAAAAGAUAAAAUUAAUGUUCAUUCAUCAAAAUUGAUUUAUGUACAAGUUGAUCAAUAACAAAUAUUUAAUAAAAUAGAAAAAUAUUUAGUAAAACUAGUUCAAAGAUAUCAAAUACAAAAUUAAUUAUUAAAUCACAUCUUAAAUGUUAAAUAAUAAUAAACCUUAAUAAUCAAAUUUUAUUUUUUUAGUUUACUUCACGUCGUCAUAUUUUAGAAGGUUAUAUAAAUUAAAUUUCAGGUAAAAUUCGUGUAAAAAUGUAUUCUUCAUUAUAAUUUAAAAUAGAUAUUACUUAUUAAACAUAAAAAAUUGUAUGAUUAACUUACUAAUAAAUAAGUAUAAUAAUAAAUCAAUAAAUUAAAAGACUGUAGUGAUAAAAUAAUUAUCUUAAAAAUUAUAAUCAUAAAUAUGAUUUCACAUCUCAUGACAUCCCAAAUUUCAUUAAUUAUUUGUUUUUAUAAAAAAUAGUUUAAUAUUAUUUUAAAAAAUAAAUAUGUAAAAUAUAAAUUUCAUAUUAACGGAUUAUUUUAUAAAGUUGAUAUAAAUAACUUACUGAAAUAAAUUUAUUAAAAAACUAUCUUACCUAACUCAUAAAAUAACUCUAUGAAUUUCAAUCUUAUUUAUAAUCUAGACAAUUUUUUAUUACUUUUACUUUAUAUUCAAAUUUAUAAAAAAAAAAUAAUUUGUUGCUUUUAAAAGAACAUAUUUUUAUAGUUAGUAGAAAUACAUCCUUAAUAAAUAAUAAUAUAGCCAUGCUUUGGUCAUAAGAUGAGGCAUAGAAUCAAAGUCAUUGGUCAAUUAUGACAAAACAUAAUUAAUUAUAUAUCCAAACAGCUGUCUAAAUUAGAAAGAGACCUCACAUGUGACGGAUGAAUAAAAUUGCCAUAUAUUAAAAUAAAAAAUUAUAUUUUGAUUCCUUUGAUCAAAUAUUGAUAUAGUGAAUAGUGAAUUGUCAAAUAUUAUUUCUUUAUUUUUAAUUUAUAUAAAAAAAUUAUAUUUUGAUAUUUUUAAAUUUUAGUUGUGUUAAAAAAGUUUUCUCAUAAAAUAAUAUAUAUAUAUAUAUAUAUAUAUAUAUAUAUGUACGUAUUCACUUUUCUAAAUUCGGAAGCGUCAUAAUAUUCAACUUUUUCAAAUAAAUGUUUAAGAUAUUUAAAUAAGAGAUCAUCCUUAAAAAAAUAAGAGGCCUUUUGGUCAAUAUCAAAUUUAAUUUUUAAAUUUCAAAAACAUCUUAUUCUUGUUUUUUAAAUAGGAUAAUUAUUAAUUGUGAAUUUUAAUUCUUACUUUUAUUUAAAGUUAUGAUCUAACCAUUUUCAAUCUUAUUGUGAUUUCAAAUAUAGUAAUUUUAAAUUUUUAUUAAUGUUCCUCGUUAGCUAUGGUCUACAAUGAGAAAUGCAUUUUCGAUAAUUCAGAUAAUACAAAUUAAUAUAGACUUUUAGAUUCAAUUAUAAGGUAAAUUUGAGGUCCUGUUUAUUGAGGAUUAAAAAGUUCAUUAUUCUCUACUUUCAGAUUAAUAUAUAUUUAAGAGAUAUAAUUUUAAUAUAUAGUGUAAUAUUUCAGGAAGGAUAUAAAACAGCUAUAACUUAAAGAUACAUUAUCUUUUCAUCUCUUUACACCUCUUUUUCCUAAAACUCACACAAACAUGUUAAAUUUAGAAUCAAAGUUCAUAAUUACAAUCUUUAAGUUUAGGAAGAGGUUAAAUAUUAUGUUUGAAUGUGAUAAUAGAUUGAAAAGGUGAAGAUCGUACUAUGGUAUGUAAUUUAUAUUAGCCAAACAUUUCUUCAAUUGUCAUUUUUUAAAUAUCACAAAUGCUAAUUUAUUUUGUAAUGAAUAUCCUUUGUUUUAUUAGGAUUGUAAUAUCAUUAUCUCCGCAUAAAAAAAUUGUAGAUUUUUAAACUGUCUUAACGAUUUCUAUGAUUUUGUAAAUAAUUAUAUAAUUAAUAGUUUGUAUUUAUAUAUAAAAAAUGCAAUCACUUUCAAAGGUAAUAUUUUUAAAAUUAUAUUUUAAUUUUGGAUAUUUGUGUAUGUUUAGCCAACUUUACUUAUCUUUUAGGAAACUUAAUUUUCAUAUUGGGAAGAAAAAAAAAAGGAUUUUUUGCAUUUCUAGAUUUCUUUUUCUUGUUAAAUGAAUCAUCAACACCAAGAAACCUUUUAUUUAUACCAUCAAUAAAAAAGGUUCCACAGUUCACAAAGAUAUCUUUUGUGUUCUAAAAAUUUAAAUCUCCUCCUUAUUUUCCCCUUUAUUAAAUUGUAGCGAAUUCUCCAAAAAAAAAUACUAUUAUAAUAUGUAAAAUAUUAUUAUUUAAAAAAAUAAAUCAUCCAAACAGCUAAAUAAAAAUAAUAAAUUAAUAAAAGUAAUAAAAAAUUUUAAAAAUCUUUUAUUUGAAGUCUAUUUUUGUUUUGCCCAUAAAGAAAUAAUAUACUUCACCCAAACUAAUUAUAAAAAAUAUAAAAUAUAAUAGAAUAAAUCAGACUAAGUUAUCACAACCGAUAAUUAAAGAAGACAACCCAUUGAAAAAUCAUGCUAACAAUAAUACAUUUACAAGAAAAUAGAGAUGUCACUAUUAAAAUGAUAAAAUAUCAUAUUUUAUCAUAUUGUAAUAUUUUUUAAAAGACAGUUUUCAGUAAAUUGAUAAUAACGCUCAUUAUAAUUAGUAACAAUUCUAAUUGACAUUACGCUCAUAUUUUUUUCUACCGUUUGAUAUUUAAUUUAUAUUAUUUAGACCAUAAGUAAAGUUAGGAUUUUUUUUUUUUUUAAAAGUAGGAAAUUUUAACAAAAUUGCAACAAGAAACUAUUAUGAGAUUAAAUAAAUGGUUUUGUUUUGUUGAUAUAAGCAUACCAAAAUUGCGAUUGAGAAGAAAGAGUGAAGAGAAGUAUGUCAUUUAUUUAUUUAUUUAUUAAUAUAAUGAUUAUGAUAUUUUUAUUUUUUAUUUAUUUUAAGAUUAGUUAAUUUUAAAAUUUUCUUACGCACAUAAAGUAUAUAUGAAAUAAUUAGUGGUAUUAUUACUUAGUAAAUUUACACGAGGACGUUUCUAGUAUAAUACGCUACUUGUGUUGGCUCUUAAUUAAUAAUGUAUUUAAGCAAGAAUAAUGAGCUACUAGUGAAUAUAUGUAAAUUAGAUGUAAUUUCAUUAGCGGUGUUUGUCCUCAAGAACAAGGAAGAAUGAGCUUCAUGGGUUCAUUAUGUGUGAUAUAGCAUCAACUGGUGACAUUCGUGUUGAUUUUGUCGGUCUUCUAAAUCUAACUUAUUCAUACGAAGAGUGUUGCUUCCUAUACCUCUUCAGGUGGGACUUGUACUUUCUUAUUAAUUUAAUUUAUUUUAAAAAUAUUUUAUACCUUUUUAUUAUUUUCUUUAUUCCAAAAAUACCUUACACAUUCUCACUAUCCUUAAUAAUCUUCCUUUUUCUUUUUCUACAUUAAUGUAACAUUCACAUGAUUUAGAUUUGAAUUUGUAACAUACUACAAAAUAUAAAAUUCAGAAAAAACUUCAAUAUUAAUACUUCUACUAUUUCUAUUUUAUAAAAUUAAAAAUUAAAUACAAAUACAAAAAUAGGUUUCUAUCAUUUCCAUUUCCAUUUUAUAUUAGCCUACUUUCCUCAUACGUAUGGCCAUGUUCCACGAAAGUAGGCUUUUCCAUAUGUAUGUUUCCUGAAUUAGAUUUUUAUUUAAAUAAUCCAAAGUUUUUUUUAUAAAUUAGCUAUAUUGAGUUAUUUAAAAAAUUGUUAUUCAAAUUUGUUUAAGAUAGACUUGUGACAUGCUUAACAUUCCAUCACUACCCUUGCGAAUGGCUUUGCAGAACUACACAUGAAAGCAAAUGUAGGUUUGAAAUCUAGAAAUUAAUAAAACUUUAACGCAGUUACAUUUCUAUUAACUAAUAACUUCAUUAAACAAUACAACCCAAGUCUGAAAUAAGACAUGAUUGAUGAUUAAUAUGUAUAGCCACUAGCCACUGCUUCAAAUACAAAUUAUGAACACUUGAAUGGACCGUGUGACUAAUUAACAUAGAUCUUCUAAAGUAACUGUUAAAAAACUUUUGACUCCUUAAAACACUUUAUGAUAAAUAAAUAAAAAAAAAAAGCAUUAACGUUGGGCAAAGCUCCUUAAUAUCAUGCAUGCAUGAGCUUAAUGUUUACCACGGCCACCUCCUCCAACACCAACACCGGAACCACUACCUUUACCACCUCCAACCCCAACUCCUACUCCAAUGCCAAUUCCAAUACCAAUCCCUCCACCACCACCGCCUCCUCCCCCAAUUCCUCCACCCCCUAUACCACCUCCUGCUCCAAACCCACCACCAUGACCUGAACCUCCACCAACUCCUCCUCCUCCACCACUACCACCUCCUCCACCACCACCAAUUCCUC